GUAGAGUUAAGUUUAAGAAAUUAAUUGAUAUCGAAUGAUAUCAAAUUUUGGUUAAGAUCAUUGACAUAUAAACAUGUUCAUUGAAUAUUUGUUUCAUGCAUUGACCAAAGUAAAGUGGGUUUUGAAUUAUGAUCAAAUUAACAGGAAGCCCAGCAGCAGCAAAGAUAAAGAUGAGAGUUGUGGAUGAUGUGAAGAAGUCCAUAGUUUAUGAAUUUAUGGAUGGAGAUGUUCUGAAGCAUUACAAAGUUUUUAGAGCAAAACUUGAAGCUGUUAAUGGAGGCUUAAACAAAGUUGGAGGAAACUUUGCAAAAUGGACUAUUGAAUAUCAGAAGGCAAAUGAAAAUGUUCCUUCACCAGAAACUUACAUGGAAUUGGCCGUCAAAGUUUCCAAAGGCCUUGAUGCAUAUAUUUUCAAGAACUAAUCAACAACUUAAGUUGCCCAUUGCCCUAAGUAAUUAAAUGCUGUUUCAACUUGGGAUUGCUCUUAAAUAAGAAAUGUUAUGUGUAAUGCAAUGUGUUAUGUUGUAUAAUUAAGGAUGUGGGCUUUGGUGUGUGUGUGUGUCUUUUUUUAUAUGUAUUUGAAAAUUUAUCUAUUUUGUGUGUAUUAAAGCUCUCAAAUGUGCUAUGAAUCCCCAUGUACUCAAUGUGAAAGACCAAUUUAAGGGUGUUCGAGAUUGCUUCUCUAGAUCAUAUAAGUGCUUGUGUUUUUUUAUUGUAAGCAGUUUAUUGAAAAGUAAUUUAGUGAUUAGUUAUUUUAAUGUUUGGUUUUUUGUGCUCUUACAAGUUUUUCUUCAUCCACACACACCCAUGUUGGUAGUAUAAAAGCAAUUCGAAAGAUUAAAUGAAUUAAUUGGAAAUAUAUCCUCAAUCACUCAAGAUGAAUUAAUCGUUUAAUUGUAUGCUUUGAUCUAUACACAAAUGUUAUAUUCUAUUAAAUUGAUUAAAGGCAUUUGGAGCUAAUUUUGAAAAUGACAAAAUGUUGCAUGCUUAAUAUUAUGAAGGGAUUGUUAAUGAUCAAAGGUUGAAAGAAUAAUGAAUUUCUUGCAUGAUUGGAUUGUCAAAGCUAAGUCUUAUAAACACGUAAGAAGCUAAUCCUAAACGUAUCUUUAUUAAUGAAACAUGAUGUGGCAUGACUGAAUAAAUAUUGUACAUGAACAUGUGGAGACUCAACAACUAUGCUAAUGAAUGCUAACUAACCAUACAAGGAGGAAAAAGAGAGGUUAUGAUGUAAUGUUAAUUUCUAACUUUGAUGAAAGAGAAAAUAUUUACGCGGCAACAAAAAUGGUCUACAACGACAGUUAUUUACUGUUGCGAACAAAAUCCAUGACAGUUAUUUUCAGUUAUAGAAGCGGGAGUUAUGGAAAGUCUUUCCAUGACAGUUUUCAAAAAUUGUCGCAAUAACUUAUUUCAUGACAUAAAAUAAAUGUCGUUAGUUAGCAUUCUACGACAUCAAAUAACUGUCAUAUUUUAUUUUAUGACAAUAAAUAACUAUCAUCAUUUAUGUAUUAAUGACAGUUAAAUAAAUGUCGUAAAUUUGUUUAUUGUGACAUGUUUUAAAUGUCACAGAUAUGUCAAUCGCGACAGUUUUUUUUUUUUAAAGAAAUGUCAUUGUUUUGCUAUUGACGACAUUUUUUUUCUGUCAAAGACAGGACAAUCGUGACAAUUAAUUUUGUAAAGAAAACUGUCAUUGUUUUGGUAUUCACAACAAUUAAUAACUAUCACAAAUUCAUAUAUUACGACAUGUUUUUUCUGUUGCAAAUUACUCGAUUACUACAAUUUUCUCCUGUUCUCUUUGCCACUCUGCCAUUACAAGAACCAUUUGAAUGACAAUAAUGUAGCCGACAAUGACAAUUUUGAAUUUAUAAUAUUGACACUCAUAUAGAAAAAAAUAGCCAACACUUUAAUAUAUAUACGCUAUAAUACAAUUUAUAAUAUUCGUACAUUUCCAAUCAAGUUCUAACAAUUUACAAGUACAGAAUCCCAACCUUUCAUCAAAAAAUAUUUUAAAUAGCAUCAGAAUACAUAUAACAAGAUUUUCUGCUAAAGCAUAAACGACCAACCGAGAAUGUUCGUCUCUGAAAAUGUUUUUUGAAAGUAAACUCAUAAAGUUGUCGACUCUAGUUGAACCUACAAAGACAACAUGAAUAUAAGCAUCCAUCAUAGGACAAGAGAGUACAACUCUUAUAGAAAAUUUCAACAUUGAGCAUUACCUAUCACUACAAUUCAAUAGUUUGUUUUAGCAUAUAUAACCACUAAAAUUGAAUAAUGACAAAUCAUCAAAGAGUGAAAAAUGGAAAGCCAAUAUCACAAAUAUAUCUUUAUUCCUAGUCCUUACAACAAAAAAGCCAAGACAAUUCCUAGUCCUUAAAGUUCAAGAGUUUGUAUUAGGCAAUCAUCGCAAAUAAAGAUGAACUAUGAAUAAUUACGCACCAAUUCUCUCAGAUUAUUAAAACAGAGAGUAAGAUUAUAGCAAGUACUCAGGUUCAUGACAAAAAAAAAAGACCUUAAAUGCAGUUAGCCAAAUUGCACCCCAAUCAGAGUUUUCCGCAACUACAAUAAUCAAGGAAUAACUUUUCCUAACAAACAAUGAAUGAGAAUAUAUACCAGUUUGUGGAAUGCAGUUGAUUGGGCAACUGAAGGGGUUCGUGUCAAAACAUACAUAUAUCGACGUACCAUUCAUUGCUGGCUUGCGACAAUUUAGGGCUAGAGCUUGUUACUGGAAUGGAGUGCCCAACGUUAUCCUAUGUGGCACGUGACAAAGUAUACCUUUGUAAGAUUCUCCAUUUGUUCAAAACAAAUUGAAAGGAAUAUAAGAAAAAGUUGUAUAACACCUCAUUAUUUGUUCCAUGAUCAAGCUGUCCAUAUUUUGAAAGACCACAUUACUAAAAAAACAAAAAUGCAAUAAGUUUUUUUUAUUAGUCAACAAUCAUAUGUCAUAAUUAGAUAAAAUUUACAGGUCCCCAAAUAUGAAAAACAAUAUACCAUAUUGAAACAAAAUAGUAAAAGAUGAUAGAAUGAAUUGCUCUUAUGAACUUCCAAAUAUUGAUCAGAAAGUAAAUAGAGAAGAAAAUUUAAAUGCCUAAAUUAUAUAUUAUCUCAUAAGGCCAAUCAUCGAUGAUAGAAACAUUAAGAGAAACCAUCAACAGAGGGGAAAGCAUGAGCUUCUUGCAUGUCAAGUCCAACAUCAAUAAGUAAGAAAGUCAAGUGACUAAUUACUCAAUUCUUAAGUUACAUGUGAGAUUCCUAAAGAGACAUAAAUAAUUAAAUGCUUCAUUAGCUUCCCGAAGUACACUAUAAAACAGGUAUCCUAAAUUUUGUAUCUGAAAAACUAAGUAUUAAGAGAAAUCCGUGCAGAGUCUUGUAACUUAACUCAAUCCAUUUACCUGACUUAAGUGGUGGAAAUGAAACAAGAUUUGUGUCCACCGCGGAUUUAGUAUAAGUUCAUGGGAGGCUCGAGUCCCCCUCAACUGUAUACUAUUUAUAUUAGGAAAAUUGUUAAAAGUUGAAAUUUUGAUAAAAUAUUUACAAAAUAUAACCAAAUUUCAUAUUUUAUUAAUAAUUGACAUUGAUUGUCACACCUCAAAUCGUACUAUCAACAAAAAUGUCAAAGUAGUAGAGAAUAGGAUAUGAGUUUGUUACAACUUUGAAAAAUUUUUAUCGCAAAACUUAUUCUAACAAUAAAAGAUUUUAUCGUUUAAUUCUUUUCUAUAGUAGUUUUAGCCUAAAUUUUACUUCCUAUAGUAGAAUUAAAAACGGGCCUCACAAUUCUUCCCCUCUUAAUAAAUUUUGUCCUCGAAAUUUAAACAGCAAGACAAUAACGCAAAACAAAUUAUACUUUUUUAUUACUUCAACUUUCAGAAUUACAGCCUUAUAACAUUAAAAUUACAGGUUUCUUGUUCUUCCAACUUUCUCCUUCUCCUUUCUCGCCUAAAUGAGAGCUUGAUCUUUUGAAGCUCAAACUCUUUUUCACUCGCAGAGUCGCGUCCACCAACUAUGUGUAGUCACUCCUUAUUAAAAUCGCCACAAUAGGUGUCAUGAUCUCCUCUCACAAAUCGUUUACAAAAUGCUUGCAUCUUUCUCCCUCAUUUAUGAUUAAUAUAAAGGCGUAUUUCGCUAAUUCGGUCAAUUUUCUCUCAUAUUCAGUAACUGAGAGUCUUCUCUAUUCCAAAGAGAGGAACUCAUCUCUCUUUUCUUCUAUAUAUGAAAUUGGAAAAUAUUUACCACUAAAUAUUCCCUUUAAUUCUUUCCAAGUCACCUUUCCUCGCUUGCUUUCUUCUAAGAUCCACCAGUUUUCGACAUCCUCUUGAUAUAAAAAUGCAGCUACACACUUCUUUCUUCUGAACACCGCAUAACAUGAAAGCACUUCUCCAAAAUCCAUAACCAUUUUCAGCUUCUUCCGAUUUAGUUGUUCCACCAAACUCAGUUGCUCCUAACGCUUUUAACCUUUCUAUUCCAAAAUUUCCCUAAUUAAAGAAUAAAACGCCCAGAUUUACUAAAUAAGCUUAUGAAUUCAUUGUUAUUCUAAAUCUUCCAACAAAUACUGAACUUUUAACUUACUGUACUUGAAUUUAUUCUUUCCCGAAGAACCUAUCGCUCUGAUACCAAACUCCACACCCCAAACCCCGAGUCGAUUUAAAACUUACGGGCUUUCUUCUGAGAGCGUUUAAACUUGUAGAUUCUACUGCAAAUCCUUCUUUUCUCAAAAUUACCUUGCAAAGUAACUUCUUAAUCGCAAAAUAUUAUUCUAAACUUCUUUUAUACAAUCAACAAAAUUUAAAACGCAACGGUGGUCAACCUAAACGCCUAGUAUAAUAAAUACCUACCAAAAUGUUUAUUAAUAACAUACAUUUGAUACAUAAUUACAACAUGUUGACCAAACAACCAAUGCUAUAUUUCCAAAACGGCUGAAUUCAUCUUGCCACAAAUCCUUCAACCUUCUCUACUUGGCCUAAAUGCCUGAUCUAGGAAGAUGAAUUUUUUAAAUAAUGUCUAAAAGACUGAGGUUUUAUGAAAUCCUUUUUGCAUUUCCUAUUCAUAAACAUCAUUUUGCAUAAUAACAUCAAAUAAUUUCAUCUCGCAUAAACAUUUCUUUACUCAAAACUACCUUGUGAAUUAACUGGGCCUCGGGAUGUAGGGGAAUGUUGAAGAUCCUGGGCCUGGGACAUUACAGAUAGACGAUGUAUGAGCUUGCUCUUCAGCCAAUUGUGCACGCCUUGUUAUGAAGUGAGGAGCUCUAUUUAUAGGAGAAGUGAUGUUAACAGGACAUCCCACGCGUCAUUAAUGCUUUGAAAAGUUGUAUCAGCAUCACAAAGACAUCUUUUUGUCAUUUCUCUAACUUUCGCACCAAUCAAAUUUGUUUGCUAAUGCUUCAUAUCGCCUAGCUUGCUUGUUUGUUGUCCUAUUGGUUGGAUGUGUCUCCACGUAUAAACAAUAUAUCGCCAAGCUUCACUUCUUUUGUCUGAAAUUUUUCAAUAAGACCACUAAAACGCAAUAAAACGGAGAUAGAAUGUUAUUCACAGAUUAAUCAAAUCACGUACUACUUUUCUUAGUUUCAUUCUGUUCUUAUGCGAUCAGACUUCAUUGUUUUACACCAAAAAAACUGCAAUAACUUGUAUUUCUACGAAUUUUCAGUUUUGUAUAACAAAUUAUGUCCAUUGAGUUCUUUGAGAGCUUUUAGAAGUUAAGAGAAUUAAAUAGUAUUUAUGGUUAUUUAACCAUUGAAAUUAUAUUGAUAGGCUUAUAAAAUAUAACAAUAGAAUGUCAAUGGUUAAAUAACGAUAAAUAUUACUUAAUUAUACAUGCAUAUAAAGGCAUAUGUUUAGUUGAAUCCACACUGAGUGUCUUCCACCCCUUUUCCUUAUGACAUUUUACUUAUCGUUUUCGCUGCCAUAGUAGGGUGUCGAAAGAAAGAGCUUCUGCUUUUCUUCUUUCACCUUUUAAGUACACCUAACAGUGAGAGUUACUGAGUUAAUGUCUCUACAGUUUAGUUGUGAUUGUUUUUCUUUAUAUCUAUACACAUAUUAAAUUAAAAAAAAGAAAAAGGAAAGAAGCAUUUUAAAUUCAAUGACUAUUUUAAAUGAUAAAAAAUUGUAGGGGACCAAAAUGAGUUUUAAACAAAGCAAGAAGACAAAGGUCAAUAAUACUUUUUGAUAAUCAUUUCUAAAUUAAAUUUGAAAAUUAGAAGUGGAUUGAGAGCCAACAUGGACCCAACGAACAAACAACAUAAUUCUUUUACACAUCUUGUUGAUGUGUUAUAAAUUAACUACUAUGAACAACUUGAUCAAAAAAUUAGUUAGUGGGGAAAAGAAUAAACUAAAGUGUGGAUCAUAGUUGUUAACUUUCCUCGUUACUGUCAACUUUCUAUAGUACAUAUCAUGUCUACUUUAUCCUUGCACUUCUUUUCUUACAUACGUUUUUUUUCUCUCUUUCGUUUAAUUUUACAUUUUCUCUUUUGACAAUUCCUAUUUGUGCUAAUCUCUUUAAUUUAAAAUUAUUUGUACACAUCUUUUAACAAACACAAAUUUCUUCACAUAAUAACUACACAUUUCUCUUUCCUCUUUCUCACAUAUUUUCACAUAAUAAAUAUAUCUACAUCAUUUUUCCGCCAGAUUUUAUUUUAUUAUAGAUCAUAGUAUUCUAUUUAAAAGUUAAAGCCUUUAUGCUAUGCAAGAUAAAUAUUGAAAUAUAAUCCGAAGAAAAUAAUUGAAUUGUUUAGAAUGAGUAGAAUUACAGCAUUCUGAAGAAUCAACAGACAUUGGCACCACAAAUUGUAGGUGAGUAUUUUAUAAAAAUUAGGUUUAAACUUUUAAAAGUUGGAAGCCUUGGGGACUUAAUUGGAACAGAAAAACAAAAAAACAAAAAUGAAAGAGUAGAUUUACAGCAUUUUAAAAUUGAUGAAUCAAAUAAAAAAUAAUCUCAAACCUUGUCGAUUAAAUAUUUGAAGUUUAAAGUUUAAGGAACAAAUAAACUAUUUGAGAAAAGAUUUACAAUAUAUAGCAAAAUUUUAGAUUCUAUUUACAGGCUUAAUAAAAGAAAGUCGGCAGUAUUAACGUCGUCGUCACCGCCCUGUCGAUGCUCGAAUUAGCAUUGUCAUGGAUGACUGGCUCUAUCGCCUUUCAGACAAUGACAACUAACAUAAUUUUGUCGAUUUUACCAUUGUCUGUGUUGCCAAACACCUACCCUGUGCACCAUGCAUUGACCCAUUCUACUCAGACAAUGUUGACCAUCCCUUCUAUGCAACCCUAUUCUUCAUUUGCGACCUAUAUUGCUUCGUGUAACAGACAUACUUGUCCAGUGUGAUGUUUGUCUAUGGCCAUAUGCCCAAAUACCCUCCAUUUAUCUUAACUUUGUGUCUUAUAUUUAAUUUUGCUACUUGCUUUCCUUUUUAUGUAAUAAAACUUGGGUAUGACGUGUCGGCCUUUUUCAUAUGCAAGUCUACCAAAACUGAAAAAGUCCAAAAUGUACUAUAGGGGAGACAUAGUAGUUGAAUCUCUGCCCAAUCCUUGUCGGACUCUUUGCAGUCUAAGUUUUUUGUUGCAAUUGACAGUCUUCAAUGCUUGUUUUAACAACGAUUUCAAUGCAAUUAUUUAUCUCACGUUUUCUAAAAUAUUUUCUAAAAAAUGUAACGGUAGGUUGAAUUGUAUUGUGAGUUUGUCCGCGAUUUUUGGAUUUUAUUGGUUGACUUGUUGACUGGGUUGAACAAGUGUCACACAAUCACUUGUCCCAAGGUUGGAAGGUUGUGAUUGUGACAAGUGGUAUCAGAGCCAAAUUGGUUGGUUGACAGUUUAACACAGAAAGAUGUCAGUUGCGAAAUAGUCGAGCAAGACCCAUAACGAACAACUUAUUGGACUUGAAGAGCAGAUGUUCUACCUAGUGGAAGUUCCAAAUUUCAUCAGUUUCUUAGAAAAGCGGCUCGAGGAAGUUGCCAAGAAAGUCGAUGUUAUUGAUGUGGUGUCCAGUCGUGUGGACAUAUUACCCAUACAAGAAUUGUUGACUAGAGUUGACACUCUAGAGUCAUGAAUUGUGAGAACUAGAAACGUCACCUACAAGUGUGGAGACAGUUCGUUGGGCUCUACUACCCAUAUGGAAGAAUGGGUUAUUAAGCUAGAUAACUCCCAGAAGAAUAUGUUAGAAAUGAUAAACGACAUGACAGAGGAUUUUUAAGCUACCCUUGAUGUCGUUAGGAAUGAAAUCGCAGAGGUGAACACAAGGUGAACCUUACAAUGCGAACGUUGGCAAACUAGGCUCCGACUUGAGGAGCAAUCCCAAUGGGUAGAAUAAAGAUUCCUAAACCCAAGCCCUUCUAUACGGCAAGAGAUGCAAAGACAUUAGAAAAUUUUAUCUUUAACAUCGAGCAGUAUUUUAAGGCCACAAGUACACUGAAGAGGCCAAAGUGGCAUUGACAACCAUGCAUCUGUCUAAAGAUGCGAAGGUGUGGUGGAGGUCCUGGUAUGUUGACAUCCAGGAAAGGUGUUGCAUAAUAGAUGUGUGGGAUGCUCUAAAGAAAGAACUCUGUUCGCAGUUCUUUCUCGAGAAUGUCGAAAUUCUAGCUCGGUAGAAACCGCGCGAAUUGAAGCACAUCAGCAACAUUUGGGACUAUGUGAAACAGUUUGCGGGGCUGAUGUUAGAUAUUCACGAUAUGUCGAACAAAGACAAAGUUUUAUGUUUUGUCGACGGUUUUAAGCCAUGGACUAAGACCAAGCUAUAUGAACAAAGGGUCCAAUACCUCACGUCGACAUAUGCAGUAGCUGAACGGUUGUUUGACUUAUUCAAUGACUCUCAAGAUUUGAGACGCCAUCAAAGAUCAUCCUCUAGGGAAACAGGAACAACCACCCAUGUUCUCCCUAAUCUGCAAGGGGGACAAACGUCAUAGCAGAGACCGCAAACACUUUCAAGUAAAUAAAGAGAAACACCGGGCGAGGACCUAACAAUCGAAACACAACCAAUCGUAUCCUUAGUUGUUUCAUAUGUAAAGGGUCCCAUCUUGCUAGAGAGUUUUCCAACCGAAUCGCCUUCAACACUUUUCAAGCCACGUUAGCCUCAUACUCAUAUGAUAAAUUGAAUCAAACCAAAGGAGAAAUUAACCAGAUAGAAGAAGGUGAAAAUCCUAGAAUGAGGGCGUUGAAAUUUUUGUCGUCUCUCUAGAAGAAGGUAGGGGAGACCAAAGGACCAACGAAGAGGGGUCUAAUGUACGUGGACUUUUGGGGUAAUUAGAAACCAUCCAAGAGCACUAUGGUGGAUUCUAGUGUGACCCACAAAUUCAUAACAAAGGCAGAAGCCAGAUGGCUAAAUCUUCGUUGGGAGAAAGACACAAAAAAGAUGAAGGGCGUGAAUUUGGCUGCCUUGCUUAUUAUCGGGCUAGUAAAACAAACGUCGAUAAGCUAGGUUAGAAGCAUGGAACGACCUUAUAAACUUAGUGGUUAAAAUUAAUGAGUUCAAUGUAGUACUGGAAAUGGAAUUUCUACUCGAACAUUAGGCUAUACCAAUGCUGAAAGCCAAAUGUUUAGUGAUUACUGGAUCUACGUCCACUGUUGUACAGAAAGACAUUUGUCAUCCUAACAAAGUAAAGAUGAUUUUGGCCAUGCAACUGGAGAAAGGCCUUGCUCGAGACGAGCUAACGUUUAUGGCUAUUCUCUGCUUGAGUCAUUGGACAAUCUAGGGGAGAUAGUCCCCAAAAAUAUUAUGUGUGUCUUAGAGAGGUACAUGGAUGUGAUUCUAUAUAGUUUGCCUAAAUCUCUGCGUCCACAAAGAAUUACUGUCAGGGACAAAACCACCUACGAAGAAUGCUUAUUGUAUGUCACCACCAGAGUUGACUGAACUUCAAAAAUAAUUAGAUGAACUAUUGAAUGCAGGAUUUAUUAGACCUGCAAAAGCUUUGUAUGGAGCCCCAAUAAUUUUCCAAAAGAAGAAGGAUGGAAGUUUGCAGUUGUGCAUCGACUACCGUGCCCUGACCAAAAUCACAGUUUGCAAUAGAUACCUGCUUCCCAUAAUCAUUAACUUGUUUGACCGCAUGCAUGGGGCAAAGUAUUUUUCGAAGCUAGACCUGUGAUUGGGUUAUAAUCAAGUGAGAAUUGCCAAAGGAGAUGAGCCUAAAACAACUUGUGUUAGGAGGUGUGAGGCAUUCGAAUUCCUUGUUCUGCCAUUUGGUCUUACCAAUGCGGCUACAACCUUUUGUACGCUGAUGAACCAGGUCUUCCACGAAUACCUUGACAAGUUUGUCGUUGUCUAUCUUGACGAUAUAGUGGUUUAUAGCUCCACGAUGGAAGAACAUAAAGACCACGUCCAAAGGACUUUUCAGAAACUAAAGGAGAACAAGUUGUAUGUCACGAGGGAAAAGUGUUCCUUUGGUAAGAACGAAUGAAUUUCUUGGGUCAUGUGAUUGAGUGUGGCCAAAUUAGUAUGGAAGAGGGGAAGAUUGUCGCAAUACGUGAUUGGACAGUACCAAGGUCAGUCACCGACUUGUGUUUCGUUCUCAGAUUAGCUAACUAUUACAGACGAUUCAUGGAAGGAUUCUCCAAAAAUUCUAGCCCGCUGACCGAGUUAGUGAAAAAGAACAGCUCGUGCGGUUAGACUCUCGAAUGUCAGGCCGCCCUCAAUGAGUUGAAGCAAGCUAUGAUCGAGGGGCCAAUUCUUGGGCUCGUGGAAGUGACCCAAUCAUUUGAAUUUGAGAUCGAUGCAUCUGAUUUUGUGUUGGGUGGUGUUCUCCUGCAGAAUGGACACUCGAUCGCAUAUGAGAUUUGAAAGCUUAAUGCUACAGAGAGGAGAUACAUGGUGUCUGAGAACGAAAUGCUUGUGGUGGCACAUUGUCUGAGAGCCCAGAGACUAUAUUUACUAGGGUCUACUUUUGUUGUGAAGACAGACAACAGUGCUACUUACCACUUCUUUACCUAGCCGAAAUUAACUUCAAAACAAGCAAGGUGGCAAGAAUUCCUAGUUGAGUUUGAUUUUGAGUUGGAACAUAAGAAAUGUGUGAGCAAUCUAGUAGCUGAUGCACUUAGUCAGAAAAUGAACAUGUGACUCUGUGCAUGUUAGCUCAUCUUCAUGCAAGUUAGAUUGAUGGCCAAUGUGCGAUGUUUUGAGAGAAUUCCUGCAGAAUGAUUAUGCCACUUAGAAUGUCAUGAGUGACCGAGAUGGUAGAUUCAUCGGCACGUUUUAGACUAAACUAUUCACUUUCUUAGGAACAAGUCUGAAUGUGUCCUCAAGUUACCAUCCUCAGAUAGACGGUCAGAUCGAGCGAUUCAAAUGUAUGCUCGAAGAAUAUUUGCGCCAUUUUGUUAAUGCAAGGCAAAAGAAUUGGGUUUAGUUUUUAGAUGUAGCCGAAUUUUGUUUUAAUGCUCAGAUGAACUUGUCAACUGAGAGAAGCCCGUUUGAAAUUGUUUAUGGUAGGCAACCUGUAUUGUUGCACCUUUUUUAUCACCCCUAUGCAGGAAAGAAUCUCCAGGUUCACAACUUUACCAAGGAAUUGAAACAGACAAUGGACAUCACUCGAUCCUAUCUAGAGAAAGCCUCGAAGCGGAUGAAGAUGUAGGCAUAUAAGAAGCGUCGCCCUCUUGAGUUCCAGGCGAAAGAUCAGGUUAUUUGUUAAACUGUGACCAUAACAGAUUUAAUUCUGGAGACGCAAACACCAACGCCUCAUGAUAAAAUAGGAGGGACCAGUAGAAGUACAAAAAAGGGUAGGGAGUACAUCUUAGAGAGUGGUGUUGCCCACAUGGAAGAAAAAUCACCCACUAAUUCAUGUGAGUAACUUGAAGCCCUACCAUCAUGAUCCUGAUGACAUGCAAUGCAAUGUCAUAGUUCGAUCAACCAUCGACAUCAAUUAGAAAGAGGAUAAAGAAGUUAAAGAAAUCCUGGUCGAGCGAGUGAGGAAGGGCGGAAGACCCACAAGAAGGAUUCACGAAUACUUGGUGAAGUGGAAAAACCUUCAUGUGAAAGAAACUAGUUAGGAACGUUUCGAAGACCUAGAAGCCUGGACGUUGAAGAUUGAAGAUUUCAAGCUUCACCAGUCAACAAAGACAUCAACUAUUUAAGUGAGGGAGAAUGUAAUGGACAUACUUUUCUAGGGCGAUGUUUGCCUAGGGCCGUAUGACCAAAUACCUUCGAUUUAUUUUAUCUUUAUGUCUUAUAUUUAAAUUUGCUACUUGCUUUCCUUUUUAUGUAAUAAAUCUUGGGUGUGAUGUUUAGGCAUUUUUCAUAUGCAAGCCUACCAGAGCUGAAAAAGUCCAAAAUGUAAUAUAGGGGAGGGAUAGUAGUUGAAUCCUCGCCUAAGCUUUGUCGCACUCUUUGUCAUCUAACCUUUUUGUUGCAAUUAACAAUCUUCAAUGCUUGUUUUAACAAUGAUUUCAAUGCAAUUAUUUCUCUCUCACAUUUUCUAAAAUAUUUUCUAGAAAAUAUUUGUAUUUUGAUCGGUUGUCCUAUUGACGGGGUUGAACAAGUACCGCACAAUCGCUUGUCUCGAGGUUGAAAGGUUGCGAUUGUGACACUCUCCACCUCUCGAUUCAUGUACUCCCACCUAAUUCCUAUUGACCACCACCGCUUCUAUUAUCAAAUUUGUAUGCCCUACCACCCACCGACCUUAGUUAUCAUCCUGAUGUUAGGUAUCCUCAAAUGAUUCAUUCAACAUUUUGAGGUUGGUCAUGAAUCUUUGACACAUUCCAACCCUAACGUGUAAGCUUUCUCUUGUUCUUUGGAAAUAACUCAACAACAAUUGGAAGGGCUUCAAUAAUAGAUUGCAUCAAUUGAGGCUACCAUAGGGACGACAUCUAACACAUCUAUACCAAUGUAUUUUGAGAAUCUAGUAACCUCAAUUUCUCACUUUAUCCUCUUAUUAUGUGACAAAUAUAGUGACAUAUUCUACAAGAUAUCUUUCAGGAAAAAUUUGAAUGACAACUGUUUGUCAUAGUUUUAGUUAGUGAAAAAUGGUCCUUAAAUGAAGACAUAAAUUUGAUUUUCUCAUAGAAAGAAUACCUCGUCCUCUGUCGGGCGACCUACAAGAAAAGUACUAGAAGGGACAAGACUCUCUUUGAUCCAUAUUGAUCAGUAGUAUGAAAUCUCAUUUUAGCAAGUAAUUACUAUAAGCUAUAACAACCAAAACUAUUUGGGACAUGGCCUAAACAUUCUACUCCAUGUGUUAGAAUGCAUUUCGGAUUUAUACUUUGCAAAACUAGAUCCACGAAUACAAAUAUGGAACGAUAGAUUUGACAUCUUAUUUUAACAAACUCUUUCUUAUUUGGCAAGAAAUGGAUCCGUGUAGGGAAAUUAUUUGGAUUUGUCUUAGUAAUGGAAAGGAAAAGAAAAAUUGUAGAAGAAAGAGGAUGGAAAGGAAGCAGAAAUGGAAGAAUUUAAAAAAAUAUGGAAGAGGAAGAGAAGAAAGACAAAAAAAAUAGAAGAAAGACGAUGAAAAGAAAAGACAAAUUUGAAAUAUUUAAAAAAAAUGUGAGUUUCAUGGACUUUUUCAUUUUGUUAUACAGACUAUAAAUAUUUUGUUGGUUUGUUAUAUUAUGAAAAUUAACAUUUCUUUUAAAAAACAAACAAUAUGAAAAGUCUAUCGUGUCAAAACUAUUCGUUGGACACGAACAUAAAAUAAUCUUACAUUUAUUUUCUUUUUAAAAUAAUAUAUAUUAAAUUCAUUUCCUUUUGAAAACCAAUCCAAAUAAUCAACAAGUGUUUUCCUCCUGAAUUUGCUCCACAUGUGAUUCACCAAUUGAAUCUAAUUUAAUGAUUUGGCUGCCACAUCUGACGUCACUGCCUCAUAUAUUUUUUCGUUAAGCUUGUUUCGACUAUAACUUAUUCGUGUGAACUCUGAUUUGAGCAAUCCAAAUUGUGUUCAGAUCAUAAUUUUGAGUUCUAGAUAAUAGAUUCACCAAAACACGAGAAUUAUUAAUUAAUAAGAUUUGUUUUGUUUCCAUAAAAAUAUAAAUUCAUUAAAUAAUUGAAAUGAAUUAAUUUGAGUUUAAUGGCCGGUUAAUUGUUAGAGACCAAGUAUACCUAUGCCUAGAAACUCAGGGACUAAAAAGAUAUUUGUCUAAAAUAUGUUUAUGAAAUUAUAACAUUCUUAUUAAAAAAAAUCUAAAACACUAGAUAAUUGUUAGAGAAAUUGCAUUAGGAUGAGAAAUAAAUUUUAAAACAAAGGAACACAUUGUCACACCCAAACCGUACUGCGACGAUAAUGUCGAAGUAGUAGGAAUAAGAUGCAAGUUUGUUACAACCUUAAAGUUUUCUUAUCACAAAAUCUUAUUCUCAACUCCUUUUAAACUAUAAAAAAAAAACUCAAAACGUAAUAAUAGUCAACCUAAAUGUUAAGUAUAAUAAAUACAUACCAAAACGUAUAUUUUAUUAAUAACAUACGUUUGAUACAUAAUUACAACACUUUGACCAAAUAACUAAUGGUUAACUAUUUUCAAAACGUUUAUCUCGCUGCAACUCCUUCAACUUUAUUCUUUACUUGGCCUAAACGCCUGAUCCUGGAAGAUUAGAUUUUUAAAAUGUAAGUCUAAAUGACUUAGUGAGGUUUUAUGAAAUCCUUUUCACAAUACCCUUUGAUAAAUCAUUUUUGUCAAAUCAUAAAUACCAACACAAAUCAAUUUAUAAUUUACACUUUAUUUCGCAAAACAUGUCAAAACGCAUGUAAUCAAUUUCACAAUAUAAUUAAAUCAUCUUGCAAAUCAUAUCAAUAUACAUUUUGCAUAAACACCAAUUCGCAUAACACAUCUUUUUCACAUGACAUAAAUCAUCUCAAACAAACACACAUUAGUUAAUUAUUAUUUUCGCCAAGGAUCUCGAAUCGUUCUCUACGCUUAGUCUUAUUACCUUGCGUUUAAACUAUUGUAUCAACAUCCGAGAACAUAUAAAUUUGUUCUUGUUUCUCAGACCGCUAAGCUUUAUACUUUCAACACAUAAGUCAACUACUUAUCACCAUAUAGCCCGUACACCCAUGGUGACCUUGACUCUUUAUGUGCACAUAAAAGUUAGCAUCAUCUCAAAAAGACAACCACUGGUUUGAAAAUUAUUUAAACGUAUAGAAAUCAUUGUAACGCCCCAAAAAUAAGACAAUUUUGAAAUUAGAUUAUCUUGGUUAAAUUAUUAAUGUUAAAAUUAUUGUGGGGUAAAUUGAGUUUUUGGUGAGGAUUAUGUGUUCGAGGAAAUUAGAAUUAAUUAAAUAAGAGGCAUUUUAAAAAAUAGAAAAAUAUAUUAAAAUACUUACAAGCUAUAGCAAAAUUUUGGAUUUUAUCAGUGAUAGUCUUCUACAGUGACUAUCACUGUAGCAUAUAUUAUCAAUGAUAGAAUUUGCUAUAGGUUGUAAAUAUUUUAUAAAAUCUACUCUCUUAAAAAACUUUCUAUUAAAUAAUUAUGGAAAUAAUGUUUAAUUAAUCAUUGGAAUUGAAAAACUUUUGGUUUGUUGCGGAUUGAUAUUAUUAAUUAUAUAUUAAAUUAUGGAAGAUAAAAAAAAAGUUAUAUUAGGGGUAAUAUGAUUAUUAAAAAAUUUUGUUUGGUUUGUUAGAGAAUUAGAUGAGGAGAGAAGAGUUGGGGUUAUUUUGGGAGAAAAUAAAAAGAAAAAAGUGAUUUCAAGAGUUAAUUGGUUUUUUUUAAGAAAGUUUUUAUUGAAAAAGAAAAAGGAGAUGGAAGAGAAGAUAUAAUAAUAAUAAUAAUAAUAUUUAUUAUUAUUUAUAUUAAAAACCCACUUCCCGACGAUACCAUUGCUGUCUCCAUCAACCUCUCUCCACCGGCAUCAACGCGUGGGUCUCAGUCGUGUUGCCCUCUCUUCGUCCGUUACAGCAAAGCUGAAGCCGAAGUCGUAACUCUCCUCUUCCGCCUGAUUCUCCUUCGUCCACUGAGCUGGAACAAACCGAAACUGAAGAUCAGUCUUGACGUUUCUCCACUGUAUGACACUGAACUCUGACGACGUCUCCACCUCUGUUUAUCGUCCUUCCCAAGCUACCGUCGCAAGCCAAACUCAUUAGAUCAAGCCGCACGCGCUAGUCACCUUUUACCCGAACCAUCCUUGCAAAUCCAUCUGAGUCAAUCUUCCUUUGCCAGCCGACCAUCCGAGCCGUUUUGAGCCUCUUCUGUAAGCCCAAGCCUCCAAUUGUGAGUUAGUUGUUGUUUUGAUUGACUAAAUUGUAGUGGAGUAAGUGAAGUGUGGAGUUAUUCCUAACCAAGGUUGAGUUAGAAUUCAGCCUCAACUUUAGGAUCUGAGGAUUAAGUACUUGGAUUCUAACCGUUUGUCCGGAUUUUAGAGUUAAUCUCAAGUGAAGGGAUUUUCUUAUUGGAUCCCCACAUUAAAGUUGCAUGCAUAUUUUGUACCAUGUAGUUAAGGAAAAACAUGUAUGACUGAGAUGUUAUGAUCGUGAUACAUUGUAUUUGAGGCAUGCUAUGAUUAAAUAUGAUAUGAUAAAGUUAUGUUUGACUGAGUUACGAUAUUUAUGAUAUGAUAUAUUUAUAUAGGCUAUGAUGUUAUGUUAGAUUUAUUAUUAGAGUCGUACCAUAUAGGUGUCCCUCAAGAUCACUACCUAUUUACACCUGUGUGGCCAAUUUUAUAUGGGAUUCGAUAGCCCGACUCUCCUUUAGGGUGUUCCUUCGGGAUCACCGAGAGCCCAGAUGCUUCCCUAGGGGAUCACUGGAUAGCGUGCCUUUAUGAGCACAAUGUUUAGACAGUACCAUCCUACAUGACUCCAGAAUUUAACGAACAUUUGACGGGAUAAAUAGUGAGUCCCUUAUUGAGUAUAAAAUUUUAAUUUUACAGAUCAAGAUAGAAGUAAAGGCAAUAUGGCAAAUGACAAGAAGAGACCGUGGUUCACCAUAAAGGGACAAUAUAUGUUCUAUUCCACAUUUAUUGUUUUCAGUAUUCAAUUUUUAGAAAAUUAUUCAGAACUCAUGUUUACUUUUAUAUAUUUCUUUUAUUUUAAAGAGAGCCCAAACUAGUAUUUUAACUAAUGUUUUUAAUUAUUAUUUUCUUUACAUACUUUACUUAUAUUUUAUGAAUUAAUAUUUGAAGCGUUCUUUUAAAACUUAAUAUUUUCUUUUAUUUUAAAUGAAAAGUUUUUAUUUGUUUUAAUGGUAAUGACUUCAGCUCGGUAUAAAGAGUUGGGUUGUUACAAUCAUAAUCAUCAAAUCAAGCUUUAACAUUAUAAAACUUGAAAACAUAUAAACUUUUCAUACAAAUCUGUUUUGAAACAUUUUUUUCAUUUGAAUUUUUCUUUCAAAAUAGUAAAGUAGAACCACAAAAUUUUCAUGAAGAAAACCAUUCUCACCACACUUUACAAAAAACCCCUCUUCAUUCUCUUCUUGUGGAGCCUUCUCAAGGAACAAAUCGCCGUACUUAACACUUUGUUUUUCUUCUUAUUUUAGUCAUGCUUCAGUUUGUCAGCUCCUACUUAAAACUUUACACGUGUAAAGUUUUAUACUCAACCCAGCCAUGCUUAAAACUUUACAUGUGUAGAUUUGACAUUUUUUUCAUCAGAUCUUACUAAAAUUAAAAAUAGGUCUUACACAUGUAACUUCUCUUUUUUGCAUAUUGCAAAUAUGACAACUAAUUAAAUAUAUUAGACAACAAUCAAAUGGUUAUCAAAGGACUAUCCGUUUUUAAAUUUGAUACUUUUGCAAUUUAGAAAAUGCAGUGACAUGGUCUCUAUUACCAUAAUUUUUUUUGCUACUUUUGCAAACGUCCCUAAUAAUUAUUCAAUCUAUUCAACAAUAUUUUAGAAGACAUUACAUGAUUUCAAUUUGUUUAGAAAAACCAACUAUAUUGUUAUUAUAUAAAUUUGAUAGUUUAUUUUAAGAAAAAUGUCAAAAAUAGCAAAUUUGACAAAAUAUUUACAAUAUAUUGCAAAAAUUUUCAGAUUCUAUCAAUAAUGACAUUGAUAGUCACUGAUAUGUUUCUAUCAGUGGCAUUGAUAGACUUUUAUCACCUGUUAAAGCCUAUAAAAGUCUAUCAAUUUCUAUUAUUUAUAGAAUCCAAAAUUUUGCCUAAAUAUUUUAAUUUAUUUUGCUACUUAAAAAAAUUUCUCUUAUUUUAAUUUAGGAUCAUUUAACAUUAUGAAUGAAAAUAUGUUACUACUACUCCACUUUUAUCUCUUUUUAUAUAUUAUUUUACAAAAAGUACAUUAGUUAAUAGAAAUUUAAAUUAGCACUACAAACUACAAACGGUAAGCGAGUAUUUUAUGAACAAUGAGUAUAAAAAUUUUAAAUUUUAAACUUAGAAACUUAUUGGAAAAAGAAACAAAAUUCAAGAGUACAAAUAUAACAUUUCAAAUAUUCGUAUGAAUCAAAUAAAAAAAGUAAAUUGAAAACUUAUAUAUAAAAUAGUAACAUUUAAUUAAUGUUGAAGAACAGUGAAAUAAUACUCAACAUUUUGGACAGAGAAGAUAUUUUAUAUUUUAAAUUAUUUUCUUAUUUUAUUAUCUAAAUCUAAUUGCAUUUUCCAUCCCACUAUACAUAGAAAAAUAAUCUUGAACUAAUCUCAAACAAUAAAAAAAAUGAAAAGUCUGACUUUUUUUAUAAAAAAACUGAUCGGACAUAAGUGCUUGAACUAAUCUUGAACUUCUCUUAAAAUAUUCUUCGAAAAAAAAAAAGCCUCUCUUAAAAUAUUAGGGAACUUCCACUAUGAGAAAGCAAAUCCAAUUAUUUUUAGCUCUAUUUUCGUUAUUAAAAGAUUGCUUUGCCUAAUUAGGUAAUUUCUAAUAUACUAUCAUUGAGUUGAACAUGAUGUAUACUCCGAAAAAUUAAGUCAGUGGACCAAAAUUGAGCCAAACCAAAGGUUGGCUAUUCAAUAAAGUGGUUAUUGAAGACUUAAUAGUGAAAAUAAAAUACAAUAAUUUUAAAGCCAACAAACUAAGGUCACGAAGCUAUUUUUUAGUAAACUUUAACUUUGACAUAAACGUGGAUCAAGUUCGAGCAUAUAACUCAAACGGUUUAUAAUAUAUGAAUAAGGUUGGACACCUUAUUCUGGCCGGGACGCUAUGAAUGAGGCCCACUUUGUAGUUAGUACAAAUGAUGUGAUUCUGAAUCAUUCAUGUAGAGACAUGGAAAUGGGGCAUCAUCUAUAAAGAAUUUACAUAAGACUGAAACAAAAAAAAAUAGUCACUUUUAAGUUAUAACAUCGUUGACGGUAUAAAACUGACUAUUUAAAAUAUGAUGACCUAGGUAAUUGAUAACUUGUACUUGUACAAGUUAUUAUGACUUUUUAGGUAGAAUAAUGGGACCAAAAUGCAUGGUGAGAGUGUCAAAAUGUGUAACUUAAGUUGUAAAUGCAUAAAUAUUUAGAAAUACACUUUACAUCACAAUUAAUAAUAAUAUAAAGAACCUUUUCUUUUUCUUUAGAAAUGCCUUGUUCUUGGAAGAUUUAACUGGUAAAUUUUUUCAUCAAUAUUUAGAAAUAUACUUUACAUAAAAUUUUUCAUUAAAUAUGCUUAUCUAAAGUGUAUUUCUAAAUAUGGUUAUGUAAAGAGGGUUAUAAAUAUUUUGAAAUGCUCUCAUUCGCUGUCCACUCACUGAUCUUGAUUUGGUGAGUUAUAUGGUAUUUUGGGUCUUUAUUGUGAGAUUUUAUUACUCAUUAAAGGUUAAUUGAGACUCUAAAUUAAGUUAAAUAUUAGAAUUGAUUUUGGUUGCAUGUUUUUGGAAAGUCCUUUGACAAAUUUUGAAGACUUAAGUGGUGAAUUUACCCAUUAAAGUUGAGAGGAUUUUUAAUUUUAAUUUGGGUAAGUUUAGUAAGCUAAAGUGAUUAAAUUAGUAAUUUGUUGGCAAAUAUUGUUAAUUUACUUUUGAUUAUGUUUAAUGAAAUUGUGGUUUCGUUUGGAACAAAGAACUUAACAUAACCUAAGCUAAUGAAGGAUUCUACUACUAGAUCCCUAAUCGAGGGUUGGAUUACUAUUAAAUUGUGAAGGGUAGUCAUUGGAUUAGGCUAAGAUGUAGAGGAUGGUUAUUUGUAUAUGCUUAUUAUGAGAAUUGUCUAUGCUUGCUGUGAAGUAUGAUGAUUGUUUACAUGCCUAUUAUAGAUUACUGAUAUGGUAUGUUGUGAAUCAGACUGUGAUGGUUUACUGUGAGUCCAUUACUGAUGAAUUAUUUUCUUAGCUUAUGGGUUACUAUGAUAGCUGGAGAAUUAUUUGCAUAGUCUAUGGGUUACUAUAAUAGUUGUGAUGAAUAAUUAUUGGCUUAGUUAUGAAUUAUUUGGUCUAAAGCUAUUGGGGAAUGUGUAAAGGACAAUGAUUUGUGUAACAUGUGGUUGCUUGAGAAUUCUUACUAUAAAAAGUAUGAUCAUUGUUUGCAGGAUUACUGAUUGGGCAUAAUUGAUAAUUUUAUUAAGUUAAAUUAUUGAACUUUUUCUUUAUGUUUAGGAUUGACUCGUUUGGAAAUUUAUUUUCAACCAUUGAACCUUAGCUAAUUUUAGGGUAAUUAGAGAUUCUAUUACUGGACCUUUGAAUGAAAGUUAAGAGUCUACAUGUGUUCAUUGGUUAUACAUUUACAACAGCUAAAAUGCAUAAAUGAGUUGUAGUAGUUAUUAGCUGAUAUAUCUUAUGUGACUUAUGCAUGUUUGCAUUAUAUGUUUAUCAACUGUUAUGACUGAUGAUUCAUGCCAUGUUUAUUUUGACUGUUACAUGCUUCUUGGACUGAUGGUGUUUGUUAGCUUUGGUUGUGUCACACUCCGUUCUAGGUUUUUCCCUCCAACCUAGAUCGUGCAUGAAAACACUUUUUGAAAACAACAUUUUUCAACUUAAACUUUUAUAGAACAAGUAUUAUGAAAUUCUACAAAAAUUUCAACCACAUCUGUAUGUAUGUAUGGAUAUAUGUAUGUAUGUAACUUCAGACUCAAAUCACAUUAAGCGUGUCUCACCACACACUCAUCCAAACUAGUUCAGAGUCUCAAUCAAAGUUUGUAUCCAACUAGAAAUUUAGUAACAAAAGAAUUACAGUUUACUUAUAAAUCUCUCAAAAUACAUAACCAUGACCUCACUACUUCUAACUACCUUAUAAAGUAAUACAAACUUAAAUAUAUACAUAUAUACGAAAGAAAUGAGAAUCUAAAAAUGGUAAUAGAGAGCUCAAUGAAAAAGAGGGAGGAGAGGAAGAAGAAAGAAAGAGAAGAGAGGGCGAAAAGUGAAAAAGUAGAGAAGGAGGAAGAAGGAAAGUAUAGGAAAGAAGAUAAGAAGAAGAAAGAAGAAGAGGCGAGAAGGAGGUGUAAGAAAGUUGACAAGGGGAUAAGAGAAACAAACAUGUUAGAAGAAGGAACCUCCUCGCCAAUAGCUGAAACAUAAUUCGAUAAGUUGACAAAGAACGAUCAAGAAAAGACAAAAAAAAAGUAAAAUCUAGGCUGUUAAAAAUUAAGGUAAAAGCGAAUGGCGUUAAAGCCUUAGAGCAGGAAAAUAAAGAGAUAAAGCUUUGUGAGCGAGGAGAGCUCCUUAAGUAAGACUGAUGAGGUGGUUCUCUUUACGAAAAAGGGCAAAUGAAAGAGAAAACCACCGAGGAGAUUGUUAAGCAGUUUCAAAAAAAGCUUACUGAGUUAAGUCCUUUGGAGGACGAGGCGCCAAGACCUACGAAAAAGAGAAAAAUCACAAUGAAGAAAAAGGUCUUGAGAGAACAGUUUGAGAAGAGGUGAAAAGAAAAGGCGAAAAGAAAGCCUAAAAAUGAUAAUGAGGAAAUGACUAAAGAAAGUGAUUUAGAAGGACCACAAAUUUCUCUAAUGAACAAUAGUUAUAGUCCCACUAUAACUAAACUCCUCUUGAGCCAAGAGAGGGUGUGACGCCACAUUGUUCAAGCCUUGGAAUCAGCCUUAAGAGAGCAAUUUCUCUACUUACUCUAUCUAUGGAGGAGUGAAUUCUUUCUUGUGUUGUUGUGUUCCCAGCUCCCUAAUCAAACGAAUCCUCAAAAUGGUAGGCUUAUUGAGUUGGCGAUAUAGGCCACUCCCACCCAUGCAAAUCAAAGGACUGCCUUCAUAGACAGGAGUUCACAACUCACUCAAGAUUCAGGUCAAGUCUCCUAUGGUCAUCUUGGUGAAAUGUAGUCUUAACUAGUAACGGUGUUAAUAAGACAGACUAUUCAUUUCGUGGUCUGAUCUUAUACAAACUCUUUGUAUAGAAUACAUCUGCUCUAAUGUCUCGACAUGAAUGAUUAGGUUCAAAUCAUUUGUAGCAGUUUACAACAAUUGUAACAACUACAAAGCAGGCCGUAUUCGUAGUGUCACCAGAAUAAGGUAUCCAGCCUUAUCCAUCUACUACAGACCAUUUAGGUUAUCAUUUAAACAUGAUCCACUUGUAUGUCUCCACAUACAUGUUUAGGUUACAUAAGAUAACCUUGGAUGUUAGUUUAUUGGUUUUGUGGGUUAGUGCAACUAAAUGUCAAAUAAAAUAACACACUUUAUUUUAUUAGAUAAAUAAAAUGUUUGUAAAAUAUAUACAAUUACAAACUACAAAACCACAAGAUUUAGGGCAUCAAUCCCAACAUCUUUAUCUUCGGCAUUCACGUCCACCAGCUUUAGUCCUGUCGUCGUCCCAGCCAUCUGUUUCAAUCUGAGCCGCUACCAUCAUCACCAAGUCGUACGCGUGCGCCACGUUUCGAUCCAAGCCGCUACCAUCUCCACCAAGCCGCAUGCAUGAGCCACAUUUCGAUCCGAGCCACUACCAUCUCCACCAAGCCGCACGCGUGAGAUGCGUUUUAGACCAAAGCCGUUACACAAGCCAUUCUUUCACGAUCAAGUCGCACGUCUCCAAGUCGUACGCAUGUAAGCAUUUCGAGUCGAUCCUCUUCCGCGAGCCGUGCGCCCGACCCGACUGCCCUUACCGAGUCGUUCCCUGUUUUGAGCCACUUCUUGAUGAAAUUUGCUUAUUUUUAUUGGGUUUGGCACUCCCAUCCAAUAGCUAUUUAUCCCAAGUAAUUUAGUGAUGAGUUAAAGUCAAGUAAUUUGAGUUAUGGAUUUAAGUUAAAACCUUAUUUUACUUGAAGGUUGAUUAUUUUGUUGGGAGAUUGGAACUGUGCAAUUUCCCAUUCAAGGUUGUGUUGGAUUCAACCUUAGUCUUAGGACUGUAAUUUGGAAGUUUACUUCAGCUAAUCUCCUUGUAAGGGAUUUUUUCUAUUGGAUCCCCACAUUAAAGUUGAUUUUGUAUCAUGUAUUAAGGUAGUUAAGGGAAACAUGUAUGACUGAGAUGUUAUGAUUGUGAUACAUUGUAUUUGAGACAUGUUAUGAUUAAAUAUGAUAUGAUUGAUUGAGUUAUGUUUGACUAAGUUACGAUAUUUAUGGUAUGAUAUAUUUAUGUAGGCUAUGAUGUUAAGUUAGAUUUACGGUUAGAGUCGUACCAUAUGGGUGUCCCUCGAAAUCACCAUCUAUUUAUGCUUGUGUGGCCAAUUUUUAUAUGUGAUUCGACGGGAUCACUUACAGCUUGACUUUCCUUUAGGGUGUUCCUUUGGAAUCACCGAGAGCCCAAAUGCUUCCCUAGGGGAUCGUGCCUUCGGGAGCACAAUGUUUAGAUAGUACCUUCCUACAGGACUCUAACAGAUGGUUUAUUUUCCAUAAUGAGCUAAUAGUUUAUUUUCCCCUAACGGGACCAGUAGUGGGUCCCUUACUGAGUAUUCUUAUACUCACCCCUUUGUGUUUAAUUUUUUUUAGGCAAAGGUAAUAAAGGUGGCAAACCGGCGAGGGGUAGGAAGGAAGCGUGACCGCCACAGGGGACAUUUUAAAAUUUGCUUUCGCUUAGUGAUUUACUGUAUUGUUUUAUUUUCGUACUUGAGACUAUUUAGAAAAUUUGAGGUUUAACUGUAUUCAAAGACUAGAAAUUUAUUAGUUUUAUUGUCUUGAAAGUUUUGGUUAUUUUAAACUGGGCCCAAACAAAAAUAAAUUUUGAUUUCUUGAGAUUUUAAAUUUUAAUUAAAUUUGGUACUUUGUGUAAACUCAAGACUUUGUGUUAAUUUAACGAUUUUGGCUUAGUUAGAAAAGUCGGAUCGUUACACCUUAAAAAAUAGCCAAAGGGGGAGAUGUGUUACUCAAGUUGGUUGCCUUAUUUUAUUAAAGAUAAAAUUGGAACUUAAUUUUCUAUCUAUAUGGUUAAUGUCUAUUAAUAAAUAUGUGGACAAUAUUUAUUAAUAAAGAUGUGGAGUUGGCUUUGAAGAUUUGGUUGUCAUGGUUGAGUUAAUACUUAUUAAUAAAUAUAUAUGAUUAAUAUUUGUUAAUAAAGAUAUUUAAGUGGUUGUGGUUGUUCCUAUAUACCGUCUCAAGAUUGGUCAAUAUUGAUUAAUAAAUAUAUGGUUUAUAUUUAUUAAUAAAUUGAUGGAGCUGACCUUUGUUUUGUUACAACGUGUGACCUAAAACACAUAAAGCUUGUGGAUACGUGAUAUUGUUGUGUUUUUUAAGACAUAAGUGUGGGCAAACAUGCAUCAAAAUUAUGCGUUGAGAAAGUCUUUUAAAAAGUACUAAGUUUGUGUGGUCUGUGGUGUUGAAUACUUUGUUUGUGGCUUUGUGAGCCAUUUGAUUGAGAAGAUUUGUGCAAGUUAGGGAAGGCUAAUAUUGAAGUUCUUUUUUAGGAGUCUCGUGUCAUUACGUGUGUUAUGGGUGAUUUGUUUGAUCAUCGUUCCAUUAUGGAUUUCUUGCUUCGAGACUGUCGGCAAUGGUUGACAUCUGAUACUGCUAUAUCUGUUUCCCCAUCUUAAAUUUAUUUGGCAGCAAGUAAGGGGGAGUACUUUGUUCCAACGUUUCCAAUUCACAUUUUUUUUGUUGCUUUUGUUUAUUCCUUUCACUAUUAAUGAAUCUCUAUAUUUUGGUUAAUGGAUCUCUACUGCUUUGUUACUUCUGGAUCUGGAUGUGGUUUGGCAGUUUUUGUUACUUAUUAUGUGGUUUGCUUUCGAAUUGUCGUUCAUUAUAACUAUCUAUAUGGCAGCUUCUGUUUCUAUACUUCUGGUUAUUGUUAUGCUUGUUUGCUCAAAUAAAGUAAGUUGGUCUCAAUGAGGAGUUUGUUAGUUAUGUGAUCCCACUUCCUUUAUUUGUUUUAAUAAAUGUAAUUCAGCUGGGAUUUUGUUAUUGAGAUUGUUUGGCUGCUUGUUAUGAUAUCUCAUUAUCAUUCUCGGGUGAUUUGGAUUGGAUUUCUCAAUUGAUGGUUACUUGAGAUUAUUGGAUGAAUAGUUUUAUGGGUGUUGAGAGAAAAAGGGAUUUUCAUUUUCUCGAUUUUGUGUGAUUGGCAAUAUAUUUAAACUUGUAGUAAGUUUCGUCGUGCUCCUUUAAGAACCUAUGGGUUAUGAUACCGCAUACUAAAGAUAAGAGAUUAAUUAAAAAGCAAUUCAAGAUGGCUUGACAAUGAUAUGCAAGUGGUCAUUUAUUCAGCGAGUCGAGUUGUCCUUAUUAAUGCUAUGACAAACUGCAUUUACAUAGUUCUUAGUUCUCAUGUUUAAUUUGUGAGUUAGUCCAUGGCCAGCAUGUUAAUUCAUGUUUAGAGUGUUGCACCCUCAGUCAUAACAUUGAUAUAGUCAAUUACUGUACGAGCAAUAUAAUCUCUUAUCAUAGGUAUAAGACCUUUUAGAUAUAGAUGUUUAGUGAUUGAAAUGGGUUACCAAAGUUUGAUGUGUUGUUUGUGUUCUUAUGUGUGCUUGGAUAGUUGUUAUUUCAGUUAUUAUUUCCAUGUACAAUAAAUAGUUACAACAAUAACGAGGUGUGUUUUCUCGUAAUUUUCUAAAAUCAUGAACAUAAUAAAUAUCAAGUUCAACCUGUUUUGUCCUAGAGUGUAAGACAGGCUUCACACACUUAAUUUUUUCUUAUUAUUUAAAGAAUAAAAAGGUAGAUAAAAUAAAUCAAGAAAUAGUUAAAGUAAUUUGGCAUUUAAAAUACAACCAGUGGAAAAAAGUGUGCAUCAUCAACAUCCACAAGAGCAAUAAAAAAAAUGAUAAAAGUUAACAUUGAUACAAAUAUAGUUGAUGAUCAAGUUGUGUUAGAAAUCAUAUCUAAAAUAUAUUAUCUACAAAAUUCAGUAUAAAAUCCCCUACUCAGCUUGAAAUUUUAUCACAUCAAAUAAAAAUGAGCCGAAGUGAUAGCAUUGUUGCAAAGGUUGAGCUAAAAUCUAAUAUUGAGAAGUUCUAUGGCUUCUUCAGAAACCAUGUGGAAGAUUUGAUGAAUCUAUUUCCUGAUUUGUACCAAGGCAUUGAUCUUGUAGAAGGGCAAUAUUUAUCUGCUGGAUCUGUUAUACUAUUUAAAUACCAUCUUGGUGAGAAUACUACUUUUUAAUUUUCUCUUAAUAUAUAUAUAUAUAUUCUUCUCUCCUAGUUAAUACAUUUAUAUUCCAUCCUAUUCUCCAUUUCAUUUAGGUUUCCUUGGGGACAAAAUUCUUAAAAUAUAACUAAUUUUGGCUACGUAAUUUAUUGACAUGAGUUUGCUCAAGGGUUAAGAAGGAAUGAGAUAUCAAUCUAUAUAACUAACUACCUAAGACUUAAUAUCUCAAGAUUAAGGGGGGAAAUUUUGAAAAGGGUGCCAAAAACAGACUCCAAAUUGUUGUGGUCAAAAUAUAUUGACAUAUCUAUUAUUUUACUACCUCCUUCCACUCUUUAAAAAAAGAAAGAUAGGGUUACUGUAAAAAAUAUCUCAUUCUUAAAUAGUCGAAUUUUACAUCUAAUAUUGAACUUAAAGACAUUCAAUUUUAAGCCUAUCAGAUUCUUUUAUAUAUAUCCGUGUGUGACUUUUUUAAUUUUUAAUUUAACGAUCAAACAGGAGCUGAUCAAGUUGUUUCAGAAAAAUGGUUAAUUAGAGCUGUGGAUGAUGCAAAAAAAUGCAUAAUCUACGAAGCUAUUGAAGGAGAUUUGCAAAAGUAUUACAAAGUUCUUAGAGCAAAGCUGGAAGUUGUUCAUGGAAGAUCAAGCAAAAUAGGAAGAGGAAGCUUCGCAAAAUGGACUAUUGAGUUUGAAAAGGCUAAUGAGAAUGUGCCUUCACCUGACAGCCACAUGGAAAUUUUUGUCAAAAUUUCCAAAGGAGUUGAUGCUUAUUGUCUUUCCAAACAAGGUAACUAAAACCCUAAAAUCCCAACUAAUUAAGUUCGCAAGUGUGUGUGAAACCUAAACUAUGCCUCUUGUUUUAAUUUAUGUACAAGGUUUGUUCCCAAAUAAGAAAUUGUGUGUAAUGUGAUAUAUGUACACUAAGAAUAAUUAUGCAUGUGGGAUUUAGGGAAAUGUGUGUAUCUGAUGUAAUCUGUAAUAUUUUGAAGAUGAAAAAUGUACCUGUAUGUGUUUUUUUUUUUUUAUUUGUAUUUCUAUGAAGGUAUUGAAUUGUUGAAGUUUAACCUUACAGAACAAAAGUAUUUCCGAUUAAACACGUGGUGGUUCAAUGCAUAUUAGUUUAAAAGUCGUAUCAAUAAAAUUGUGAGAUGUGUGUUAGAUAUUUUGUAAAGACGGUAUAAAAACUGAAAGAAUUUCAAUCCAAAUAAUUAAAGCAUGUAAUUCCUUUCUUUGAUUUCUUUAAACAAUUAACCAUUCAGAUUAAAAAGAAAAGUUAUAACUAUAAUUGAACUUACGUUGCGGAUAUGUGAUCACAACGAAAUGAUACAACGAAAUAUCAUUGCCAAUAUAGUGUCUCCACGUUCGUGAAUUCUUUUAAUUCCAAGAGAUACCCCAAAUUGAGAAAACACACAUUUAGUUUUGUUGUAUUGUUUGAUGUACCGUAAAUAACAAAAAACUACGGAAGCACAUAAAAGCACAUCGAGAGAAUACAUCAAAUUUUGGGUUACUUUGCUAACCCAGUUCGAUGACACAAGAUCUAUAUCUAUUUGGGAGGCCUUUAACCUAAUUGAAAAGAUCAUUUAUAAGGAUGGAAGAGGAUCACGAUUACAUAACUUAUCAAGAAUCAACUAUCUUGGAUCAUAUGAUUUAGAUAAACGUUUAGGCUCCUCUAAAUCACAUGAUGUGUGAACAACAUGUUUCUCCCUUAUGUCUCAAAGUGCAAUUCUAAUUUGCACAAAUCUUCUCAAACAAUGUGUUCAGCACCAUACACCACUCUCAACGCAUAAUUUUGUUGCACAUUUUUCACACUUCUAUCUUCAACCACACCAAUAUCACAUGGUCACAAGUUUAUAACUUUUAGGUCAAACGGGUGGUAGUAAAAACAAAAACCAACUCCAUCAAUUUAUUAAUAAAUAUUAACUAUAUACUUAUUAAUAAAUAUUAACAAAUAUAGUAACCACCCCAAUAGAAUAUCUUUAUUAGCCAACUGAAUAUAUUAAUAAAUAUAAACCAACCUAACAACUAAAUCUACAAAUUAUCCAUAUAUUUAUUAAUAGAUAUUAACUAUAUAAAAAAUUAAGCUCCAAUUUCAAUAAAUUUAACCAACACAACUUGUGGAUAAAAAUACAGGAAAUGUGAGAAAGGAUUUUUCUAAAAUUUUUGGAAAAUUAAUUUGUACGAGGACAAUCUUAGAGUAAUUGUAGAGAUUACUUUGAGGAGAGUUUUUCAUGAGAGCUCUCAAGGGCCCUACGUAUAGAAGAAAUUGGCCAUUCCAAAUUAACUCUUUACAGACUCUUUAAUUGAAAUACUUAGUAAAAAAAAUUAAAACUAUCUACAAACAAAAUCAUUAAAUUUUCUAUUGUUUAUCUGUGAUUUUGGCUAUAUUUUAUAACUAGUUUUCAAUUUUUUUUUCUUUUUUUACUAUUUAUAACCAUUCCUCGAUCUGUAAUUCAAAUAUAAUUUAAAUUAACUAACUUAAUUAUAUGGAUCUCUUCUACAUAAUUAAUUGUUUUUUAAUCUUAUGCAAAUAAAUUAUAUUAUCAAGCUUUUAUUUGAAUCUCAUUGAAAUAAAAUUUCAAAUAAAUUAUAUAUUAACUGUAUCAUAUGGAACAAGUUGUGUCCAUGGAUAUAGUUAGUAUAAACAAGUCAAAUGUCCAUUUUACUCAUGUAAUUAGCUCAUUUAGUGAACAAUUUGUUUACGGUUCAACCACAUAAAUGAAGGCGCUCUUGAGAUAGUAAGAGGAUAGGGCCCCUUGUUCGUGAACCAAAAUUAGCAUUUUUCUAAAAUUCAUUCAAAGUUAUCAACACUGAAGGAAACAAGUCAUCCACUUUUCUUAUGCUAGAAUGAGUGAAUUUCAAUUUAUGAAUUUAUGUACCAAGCUCCCUAUUUAGUGAAGUCUCUAAAGUGAUAAAAUUAUUGAGUUGACAACUCAGAUCACUCUCACACCCGAGCAAUUAAAAGACUGGCCUCACAAAUAAGAGUUCAUAAAACACUAAUGAUUAAGAUUGAGCUCCAAAGAACAUCAUACGAAAUAAUAAUCUCAUCAUGUAAUAGAACUUACAAAGAUAGAUAUUACAGUACAGUUUGAUACUAUUCAUACUUUUCGUAUAGAAUACCCCACUCACAUGUCUCCACAUGAAUAAUGGUUUGGAUCAAACCAUUUGUAAUUAUUAAAAAGUUGGACAUAUCCUAAGUUAUUUAUUGAACAUGAUCCAUUCGUAUGUCAACUACAUGUUCGGACUUCAUACCUCAACGAAAAUAAUGUUUUCUAUUAGAAAUUAAACUUAAUGAUUUCCUAAAUCUUAAUGUGGUCAGUUAAGGUAUAUCAAUUUAUACUUAGUAUACAUUUCAUUUAAUUCAACAGAUAAUUAACCUGAAAUUUGGAUUUCUAUGUGUGUAAAAUAAAGAGGAGCACGUACAAAAAAAAAAUAAAUAAAAUAAAAAAAUAGAACCAUAAUAAACAUACUUGUUGUCUGCAAAAAUAACAAAAACGAAGUUCAAUCCACAUGUAAAAGAUGUAAAAUAUCACAAAUAUUCUUACUAUUAUGAUAUACACCUUAUAUAUUUGAUAUAUUGGGUAAACUAGUGAUGUAUACACUUGAUAAUGAUAAACGUGUAAUCGAUAUACUUGAUAUAGUAUUUAUCAAUCAAACACUCUCAUUUAAAUUAUUUAUAAACUUAAUAGACUUGAGUGAUAAUAUACUUGGUAAGAUGUAAGUGACAUGCUGAUAAACUCAGUAAUAAUGCAAUUAACACUAUACUAAAAAGAAUCAAUAAGGUUGGUAAGUUUAUGUAGAAAGAAAAUUUUGAAUUAAAAAGUUAAACAUUACUUGCUAAAAAGAGAGAUGUAAUGGAGAAAAUAAUGAAGAAAGAAACAAAAAUUAUUAAUAAUAAUAAUAUAUUAAAAAAAUUAAAUCCACACACUUUCCAUCCCCUCAACAUUUAAGAAGCUGUUUAAAAAGGUUAAUUAUAUCAACUUGUACAACUAAACUAAUUAUUAAAGUUUUUCUUUUUUUUUCUAAUAUAGUAUAGGCAACUACAUCAUUUUAAGUGGGGAACUCCAUUACUCAAUAAUGCCAAUAGCCAAAAUAUGUUUUUAAUUCAUACUUUAUUUCUUACCUAAUAAUUUCACUAUCACAUAUUCCACUUUCCAAAAAUAAUUAAAACAAAUAUAUAUGAUAAUAGAUUUGACGUUACAUACCUUUUUAAAAUUGCAAAAAUAGUAAAUUUAAAAAUAAAUUAUCGUUAGAUUAUCGUCUAAUUACUAUCAUAUUUGUCAAAUUUGUAAUGUGCAACAAAUAAAUUUAAAAAUAAACUAUCGUUAGAUUAUCGUCUAAUUACUAUCAUAUUUGUCAAAUUUGUAAUGUGCAACAAAUAGGUGUUAUGAACUAUUUUUUUCUAAAUUUUUUUUGAUCAUUCAAUGCAAUCUUCUUAUAUAAUAUUGUUUUUUCAGAUGUGAAAAGGAUCCCUCUAAACCAAACUGAUUUACAAUCCCUAUAAAACCACACAAAUAGGCAACCUUCUAAAAGAAUGUCAAUUUAAAAAUACAUUCAUCUCUUCUUGGAGUGAGCAGUGGCCAAACCAAUCCAACUCAAAUAAAUUCAUUAAUUAAAGCUAUAUGAUGUAAGAUUAUAUGUUAGAAGGGCCAAUCAAAUGAAUAAAUAAAAUCUUAAUUAACUCACUUGACAUUCAAUGCACUGAUAACCAAAUAAAAAUCUAUUAGUUUGAAUUUUCCUACCUCUAAUUAUUGUACUAAAAAAAUUGAACGAUCAUGUGAAUAAAUUAUUCUUCAGUAAAGGUUAAAAAAGUCUACAAAUACACAUAUAUUAAAAUGUGCAUUUUUAUUUAACUUCAUUUUUAUAAAAUUGAUUUGAAGAAUUGUGACCGAUUUUCUUCAAAUAAUUUACUUUUAAAAUUACACACAUGGAAAUGUAUAUUACAAUUAAAGGUUGAUAAUUUAGAAGACAUGUACUUUGAAAAAGGCAUAGAUUCUGUCAUAUAGAAAAGACGUAAAAUAAUUAAAAGAAGAAUAAUCCAAUUGAUUAUUUGGGUUUUUUUAAAAAAAAAAUAGAUAAUUUUUACUUUUUUAAGAUACUCAAAUUUAUAAAUGCCUAAAAUUAUAAAUAACUAGAGAUAAUCAUAUUUAUUCUAUACGAAUAUUUUUGCACCUAUUUUGAAAACUGUGUUUGUUUAAAGAUAGUUUACAUAAAUUUAACCAAACUCAAAAAUAUUCACGGUCCGUGUAACAAUAAAAUUAAAGUCCAUGAAAUCAUCAUUGUUUUUCAUAAUUUUAAAUUGGACUGACAAGAAGAAAUGGCAAAUUAAGAGGCUUACUUUGGAAAAAUAGCAAAUUUAUUUUUAAAUUGUUGGAAUAGCAAAACUGAAAAAUCUGAAAAAUAAAUAAAUGGAACAAUGUCUCAAAUGCCCCUAUCCAAUUUAAAAACAGUUCUAAAUACAAUUGUUCACCUAAAACUCAAAUACCUUGCAAUUAAAUAACACAUCAUUGUUGAAAUUGUGCAUGUUUAGGUAUUCAAAGCCGAAAAGAAUCCAGCCUCACUACCUUCCACUUUCAUAGAUUCUACCAAAUCUUCAAAGUCUACGAUCAUUUGCAGAAAAGAUUGGAGCUUCAAGCUUCGUCCUCCUCAAAACUUUCAAAGUCUUCAUACAUUCAGUACAAAUCAAAGAACUUUCUUCUUGCCAACCAUCUUCUUCAUCAAACCGAUUAUAGAUUUUUUUUCGUCUCGCGCAAAGUUGAGCUUCUCCAACGGAUUUUCUUUUUCGCUUGUUUAAAUUACAGCAACAAUAUAUCCAUUUGAUUCUUAGAAAAGAUACAGUGUAAUUACAUCAAAAUACAUUGUAUUCGAUAUCAAACUUCAACCACAUACCUUGUAUUCUCCUUUUCCGUCUUCUACCCUCUUUGGUCUUUUCCAAAUGAUCUAAAAAUUAAUAUUAUUUUAACUUCAAGGGGUAAUUAAGAAAAAAUACAACAAAACCCCUACAACAACAAAGUUACUAAACUCCGGCGACAGACGGUGGCUGAAAGUUUUGGCAUAAUCGGUGAACGAAUGUAGAUGAAGGAGACUGACGUGGCUAGGUGUGCGACGCUUGAAGUAACAAGUGGCGCAAAGGCGCUCGGCUUCGGAUGAAGUAAACGUGCGUUUAGCGGCAUGCAAAGGUAGAGAUCUCGACUUGACGAAGAACACUCGAACGGAGAUGGAGGUGUCGACGGCGGCUAGGGUUUGGUGAGAGUGAAGAACAUGACGACGAAUAGUAAUAAUAAUAUUAUUAUAUUAUUGUUUUCCCUUAAAUAUCUUCCUUUCCCUUUUUUAUUUUCCAAUUUAAAUAAAAAAAAUAUUUUCUUUUCAAUUAAUUCCUUUCAAAAAUAAAAUAUUCAUUUUUUAUAGAUAUUUUGGAAUAUAAAUAAUUCAAAAAUGGUAAAUUUAUGUUUGCUAUUACUUUGGAGAUAUAAAUAAUUCAAAAAUGGUAAAUUUAUGUUUGCUAUUACUUUGGAGAUAUAAAGAUAAUCUUAGCAUGAUUUUGGGGAUGAUAAAAUUUUAAAUUCAAAUUAUUAUUAACAAUAACUAUUUUUAUAAAUUUUUAAAUAAAUUUUAAUAUUUCGGUGGUUUCAAAUCAAAAUUUAAAAUCUAUUUUUAAAUAAGAAUUGUGGAAAAUAGAUAAAGGAUAUUAACAAGAUAAUUCUAAAAUUUUGAAAUUAUGUUUGACAUCAUUAUAAGAAAUCAAUUAAGUACCACGAUUAUAGGGGAAAAUCAAAAUUUUCUUAGUAUAAUCAUAUAUACAUUAAAUGCAUCAUAAUUAUAGGGGUAAGAUACAAUUUUAAUUUUAACAACCACAACUAAAUAAAUUGUUAAUUACUUGAUUUGAAACCUACAAACACGUAAAUAUGAAAUAAAUUGCACGCUUAAAUCUAGGGGAUGUUGAUUCAAUCAAAUUCAUUUCGAAAAUAAAUAUUUAUUUAAUAUUUUUACAUAACUGAAUGAUUUGCAAAUACACUGUAUUCGUGAUUCUGAGUUAUAUUCCAUCAUUUUAACCUACACAAGUACAUUGUAUCUAUCAGAUAAGAAUUUUUCUCUAUACAAGUAAAAUCGGCUAAAAAUAUAAAAAAAUAAAAUUAUUGUAUUUAUAUUUGACACAAUUUUAGAUCUAUCUAAAAUUGAAAUUGAAAUUGUUAUUAAAACUAUAUCAUGUAUUAUUUAAAAAAUUGUACAAAAUAACAUGUUUAGUUAAGAUUUACCAAAUUUGAAUGUUAUUACUACAAUAUUCUAAAGAUAUCAAUGGUAAGAGAUAUUUAAAUUAAGAAGGUUAAAGAAAGGUGACAUUUGUAAACGUUGGAUUAUGAGAAUGUGUUAGUAAAAUCCUAGUUGUUAGUAUAAAUAGGAUGGAUGUCCUACCAUUUGUAUUGAACCAAAAAAUAAUUAGAAGUGUCCAAAAUUUCUUUCCAACAUAAAACAAACAUGUAUUUAGAAAAGGGUGGUGUGAACCAAACUCUAAUAGAGGUGCUGCAAACAUAACUUUGUAGAUUUAGGGACAAGUUUUCCAAGAUAGAUCUGAUCAACAACCGCUAGUUCUAAUCUCCUUAGGGUUUGUAUAUAUACUAAGAUCAUAAUGUAGUACAUAGUACAUACGUGAGGUUUAUUGAUAUAUUUUAUUUUAAUUAAUUUCAGGAUUUUAUCUUCCUUAUUUAGUGUGCUAAUAAUAUGGAGAUAUACAUUUGCAAAAUAACUAAAUACACAUGUGUAAAUAUGACAAAACAUGAGAACUUAUAUCUUCUUACAUAUAUAUUUUAUGUAACAUACAAAAAACUAUCAAUACUUGAAAUAAAUAAAUCUCCUCGUACAUAUUGUUAGAAUCUUAGAAUAUUUGUGGAAAGAUUAUGGGAAUAUUUUCUUUAAUUCCUAAAUCUUUUCCUUUUUUAUUUCUUUGUAUAUUCUAUUUAUUCUUCAUUGUACUUAUUAUAUUAUUCAUUAAAAAAUAAUAACAAAAAAUAAUCAUGGUUUUUCUCCUGGUACUUGGCUUUCCACGUAAAUCAACGUGUGCUCUUUGUCUCACAACCAUAUUGAAACUCUAAAAAACACAACCAAUGAUGAAAAUCAAAUAGAGGAGACAACCAUCGGUUUUAGUGUCGUCAUCGCCGUCGAUGCUCAAAUGAGUGCUGCCAUGGAUGAAUGGUUCAGCUGCCUACAAAAAAUGAUGAAAAUAAAUUCUCGUAAGUUCUGCAGUUGUUCGCAUCACCGAGCAUGUCUAUGUGCCGUUACCGUACACGCGUCGAUUUUUCCUCCUUAGAUGGUGUCGGUCAUCCCAUUUAUGCAACCAUUUUCUUCAUUUGCAGCCUAUAUUGCUCCUCACACCCGAAUUUAUGUACUGCCACCUAAUUUUGGUCAGCCACCACCACUUUUGCCGUCAAAUCUGUAUGCUAUGCCACCUAUUGAUCCAAGUUAUCAUCCCGAUGUUAAGAAUCCUCAAAAUCACUCAACAUUUGAGGUUGACACAUUCCAACCAUAACUUGCAAGCUUCCUCGAGAAUAUCUCAAUAGCAUUUGAAAGGGCUUUGAAAAUAGAUCACAACACUUGAGGUUACCUUAAGACUACAUCCAAUAUUUUUGUACCGAUGUAUUAUGAGAAUCCAUAAACCCGUUCCCUAAUUUGUCCUCUCCUUAUGUGACUAAUUCCAUGGCUCAAUCUUCGACAUAUCAUCUUCAAGGAAAAAAGUUGAAUGAUAAUAACUAUUUCUCAUGGUCUUAGUCGUCCUUGAAGAACAACAUAAACUUAGCUUUCUAACAGGGGAAAUACCUCGCCCCCUAUCGGUUGAUCCAAAGGAACUAUACUGGAAGGUGAAAAACUCUAUUCUUGAAUACAUAUUGAUCAAUAGUAUGGAACCUUAGAUUGACAAGUUGUUACUGUUUGCUACAACAACCAAAGAUAUUUGGGACACGACCUAGACACUUUACUUCAAAUGUCAGAAUACAUCUCGCCUAUACACGCUGAGGAAGCAGGUUCAUGAAUGCAAGCAAAGAACCAUAGAUGUCACAUUUUUUUUUAAUAAGCUUUCUUUUUAUUUGGCAGGAAAUGGACCUAUAUAGAGAACUAGUCUGACAUGAUUCGAGUGUUAGUGUGUAGCACUCUAGAAUUGAAGAGUGAUAGGAUUUUAUGACUUUCUUGCUAGGUCUUAAUUCUAACCUUUGCUUAAGGUUCUGAAAACUAUCCUCACAAGCUGGACUCCAAACAAAUGGAGUUCCCUUCCUUGUCAACUGAGUCAAGGGAGUAGCCAAACGUGAAAAAUCCUCCACAAACCUCCGGUAAUACCCUGCUAAACCCAGAAAACUACGAACUUCACUAACUGUAGAGGGUCGAGACCAACUGGUAACCGCUUCAAUCUUUGCAGGAUCUACAGAAACUCCCUCACUGGAAACCACAUGCCCAAGAAAAGCCACCUGCUUCAACCAAAAUUCGCACUUAGAGAAUUUAGCAUACAGUUUAUUGACUCGAAGAGUCUCUAACACUUUAUGUAAGUGUUUCUCAUGUUCGGCCUCAGUCUUGGAAUAAACCAAAAUAUCAUCAAUGAAGACUAUCACAAAAGUGUCUAAGAAAUCCUUAAACGGGUCCAUAAAUACUGCAGGUGCAUUAGUCAAACCAAAAGACAUUACUAUGAAUUCAUAAUGUCCAUACCUCGAACGAAAAGCAGUCUUAGGAAUAUCACUGUCUCUAAUCCUCAACUGGUGAUAACCUGACCGUAAGUCAAUCUUAGAGAACACCGUGGCUCCCUUUAACUGAUCGAACAAAUCAUCGAUUCUAGGUAAAGGAUAUCUGUUCUUGAUUGUUACUUUAUUCAACUCUCUAUAGUCAAUGCAAAGACGCAUCGACCCAUCCUUCUUCUUCACAAACAAUACUGGUGCACCCCAAGGCGACACACUAGGUCGAAUAAAACCUUUGUCAAGCAACUCCUGUAACUGUACCUUCAGUUCUUUCAACUCGGCAGGAGCCAUCCUAUAAGGGGCUCUAGAAAUGGGAGUAGUGUCUGGCUCCAACUCAAUGGCAAAAUCAAUAUCCCUAUGUGGCGGAAGUCCUGGAAGAUCUUCUGGAAACACAUCUGGGUACUCUCUUACCACAGGUUCUGAAGUUAAAGAAGUCUCAUCUUCCCUAGUAUCCACCACACUUGCCAAAAUACUCCAGGUACCCUGGUUGAGCAGUUUACUAGCUUUCAUAGCUGAGAUUACUUUAGGCAAUACUACGGUUCCUACCCCUUUGAACUUAAAGCUAGAUUCGGUAGGGGGACUGAACACAACCUCCUUACGAGAACAAUCAAUACUAGCAUGAUUAGUAGCUAGCCAAUCCAUACCUAAAAUUACAUCAAAGUCACGCAUAUCUAAUACCAACAAGGUUACGUCCAGCACACGACCAGCUAUCUCAAUUUCACAUGCUUUAAUCUUUUCCUUAGACAACAUAAUUUCUCCAGACGGUGUAGACACUGACAAGACAUAAUCUAAGGGUUCCACCUCUAAGCAUGCAUGCGUCACAAAAAGCGAUGAGAUAAAUGAAUGAGAAGACCCUGAGCCAAACAAGGUUAAGGCAAAAUGCCCUAACACUGGUAAUGUACCUGUCACCACUGUGCCGACCUUCUCUGCUUCUGAUCUAUUAGUGGUAAAGAUUGUACCCCGCUGUGGAGGUCUUGCUCCCUGACUGCUCUGUCCAGCCCCAGUAGAUCUCAAGGGACAUCGAUCAGCCAUGUGUCCCUCUUGCUUGCACUUAAAACAGACUCUCGUUCCCAUCAAACAACGACCCAGGUGGCAUUUCCCACACGUAUUGCAUAGUGGCUUCUUUCUAGUAGUGUCUCCUGCCCCACCAGAACUCUGCUGGAAACUGUGAAAAGGAUCGCCUGAUCUCAAGUUUCUCUGAGGAACUCCCACAAUUCUCUGCUCUGCUUUCCUCUUCUGACCAGACGACGUUCCCUUAUCAGAACUCCUUGCCUGAAUUUCAUCCUUCCCAAUACUCAUAUCCACUGCCAGACGCAGCGCUUCAGCCUGGGUAGUAGGCUUUAGUGCUCGCACAAAACCUCUAAUCUCAUCUCUCAAUCCUUUGACAAACCUCUCAGCUCUAGCCUGCUCAUUACCAACAAGUUCAGGGGCAAAGCGCGACAGCAUAUCAAACUCCUGGUUAUACUCCUCAACUGUCAUGUGUCCUUGCUUCAAUUCCAAGAAUUCCUGGCUUUUGGCGUCUCUAAGGUUAGCCGAGAAAAACUUGGUAUAGAAGCAGUCUUUAAACUGAUCCCAAGUGAUCUGUCUCACAUCUCCACCCAACAUACGCAUCGUAGUCCUCCACCAAAUAAUACCUCUGUCCCUCAGAAGAAAAGCAGCACACUGAACCCUAUGCUCCUUUGGACAUCUCAUGUAAUUAAAUAUGGCUUCCACAGAGGACAACCACAACUCCGCUUUAGUAGGAUCCUCCAGUGACCCAUCAAACGUCUGAGGGUCAUAUUUCCUAAAGUCCUCUCAAAUGUUUCGCCUCAGCAGAAAGUUGGUUCGGUAGUAUCUGUGCGGCUGUUGUGCAGCCAAUCCUUGUGCAGGAGGGGCUGCUGGUGUAGGUGGAGCUGCUGGUACAAGGGGAACCACAGGUGCAGGCGGAACAACUGGUGCAGGUGGAAUUGCAGGUGCCUGCUGGUUCUGAGCUAUAGCCGUCAUAAGCUCCGUGAACCUCUGCUCCAUGUGAGUAGACAGUGCAGCAAACUCAACGUGAGUCACGGGUGCAGUAGGAAUUCGCUGUUCAGCUUGACCCUCAGUAGGUUGAUUACGACCUGCUCCUCUACCCCGGCCUCUACGACCUCCUCUACGAACACCUCUCUUUGGCGGCAUAAUUCCUAUUAUCCACCAACAACUCUCUUUUAAAAAGUCUUAAUCAUAAGCAUAAGCAAGUCUUUAUCAUCGUGCAAUCUAGUUUAAUUUACAAAGUCAUGCAAAUAAACCAUAUAUAUAAGCAUAAAGCAUACCUGACGAGAGACGAAGGGUCGCGUUAGCCAUAUGGACACAAAAACAUAGACUUACAUCGUAAGUCAGUCUACAGAACCUAAAGCUUAGGCUCUGAUACCAACUGUAACGACCUAACUUUUUACCUAAGUCGAUGUCAUUAACGUUUGACAAAAGACCUUGGUUAAUUAAAAUUUCAAACCUCAAAAGAACAAAAUUUAUUUUGUUUGUUUGGGCCCCAGUUUUAAAUUACUAAAAUCCACAUGAAAAUUUAAAACUAAAAAGUUUCAAAUCUUUGAAUACUUUAAAACCUUAAAAUUUUCUAAACAGUCUCACGUUCGAAUACAAAUAAUACUAUAAAUCACUAAGCGGAAGCAAAAUUUUAAAGUGUCCCUUGUGGCGGUCACGCUUCCUUCCUGCCCCUCGCCGGUUUGCCGCAUUUAUUACCUUUGCCUGAAAAAUUAAACUUAAGGAGGGUGAGUAUAAAAAUACCCAGUAAGAGACCUUCUAUUGGUCCCGUCAGGGGAAAAUAAAUUUUUAACAUUCUAUUGGGACACCCUGUACAGUCGCAGUCUUGUGAUCCUGUAGGAUGCACAUUUCAGUCUAAUGCCCCGAGGGACGUACAUUUCAGUCUAGUGUUCUGCAGAAACACAUAUCAGUCUAAUGCUCCCGAAGGGUGCAGAAUAAUUGGUGAUCCCGUUGGACACCUACAAGGCACACAUCCCAAUAAAAGCUAACAAUUUUUCCCCUCAGUCCAUUCUAAACUUUUAAACAGUUAUUCAUAGUUCAGUUAAAUAUUCUCAUUUCAUAAACUCUUCACUUGGUCCCUAACAGUCAUCUUAUUUGAACUUAGCUCAAGGCCAGUCAGAAGCACGUCAGUACAUCAGUGAACAACUAAACAAUCAUAACAUCCACUUUAGUCUACAAGGACACAACCACGACCUUUCCUCAAUUCACAGAAACACAAUCAUAACCAUAUAUCAUAUAUUCAGUCAAACGACAAUCUACCAGUUCCACCCUACAUUUAAGCAAGAACAUCUAUAACUUUCGGUCAUUCAAAAUCCAUAUGUGUAAAAAUACAUAUCCAGUCAGUCACAUCCAGUCAGUCACAGCAUGCACUCAAUACCAAGUCCACAUCAUUCCAUACAUAAAUAUAUCUGUCUUUCCUAGUUAAACACAAUAUACACUAAAUUCCAAUUUAACCAUACAGUCCAACAUAACUCAAAAUUUUAGGUGAGUCCAGUAGAAAGUCCCUUACCUCAAAGUUAGGGAACCUCCUUAAUCAACUAACGUCCACGAAACAAUCCUAAGCCUAACAAUACAAAAUUCGAUUACUUUCACGAUACAUAUCUCACUUACUUUCCUCAACGUAAGUUCCAACUCACCGAAGUAUUGGCGAACUGAACCCUCAACAAUUCACAAAUUGGUUGUGAAUUUAAGGGGCCCAACGUUACUCCCAACACCUUCAAGAAUCAAUUAACAAAUUAGCUAAACAUUCCAACCAUUCCAACCAUAACGCUUGAACCACUUUGAAACAAAUUACCAUUCAUACUUAAAUUAUUACCAACAAAGCAACCUCGAUAAGAUUGUAAAACAGAGGCAGCGGCACACCUUGACGCACGACUGUCGAACUCGCAAUAAAAAUCCUAAGUGUGGGUCGGUCAGCGGUCGGCUAAAGGAGAUGUGGCGGCUGGGCUUCACAGAUGGAGAUCGACGCGAACAAACCGCGAAUCUGAACGGUUACAACAAAUCUGAACGGUUACAGCAACUAGUCAGCCGACGUCGAUAGCAGGUGGAGCGGCGGAGCUUCGCGAAACAGAGUGAUUCGUGAUGGAGAGACGGCGUACGGCUGGACUUGGCUUCGACGGAGACAGAGGUUGCGCGGCGGGGCUGGGCGGACGGUCACGCGGCGCUGGGAAGCAAACAGAGGAGAAAGGAGAGGGGAGACAGCCGGCGGUUGGGCUGCGGCGAACGGAAGGGAAGAGAGGGAGGCGUGCGGCUAGGGUACAGGAAGGAGAAGAAGAAAAAAAAUGGAGAGAGAGGGGUUUGCGCGCGGGAGGAAGAAGAAAGGGAGAUUUUCUUUUCUUUUCUUUUAUUUAAUUUAAUAAUAAAAUUAUAAAAUAAAUAAAUAUAUAUAAGGAUUUUUUUUAAAAAUAACGUGUCUUGUGAAAGUAUUUUCAAAAAUAGGGUAGUUGGGAAAGAAAUUAUAAGAAUAAGGUUGUUUCCCAAACUAUUUUCAAAAAUAGGUGUUUUUUUGAAAUUGAACGAAGUCGUGUACGAGGUACACGACUUCCAAAUGAAAUUGAACGAAGUCGUGUACGGGGUACACGACUUCCUAAAUGCACAUGUCAGCACAUUUGACCACUUCGCUCCACGUAUGCACGAGUUUGACCCAUGUGGACGGAAGUCGUGGACGGGGUACACGACUUCCUAAAUAUAUGUUUGUAAAAUUAUUAUAUUUUAAAAGAUUAACAAAAUUAGUUUUUGUUUAAAUGGCCAAAUUUUUGGUAGUUUAUGUUUAUUAUGAACAAAUUAAAAAAAUAAACCAAAGUUAAACACAUCAUGAGUGAUAUCUUAUAAGAAUUUUGAACGUUUUUUUUUAAUACUUGGUUCUCUACUUUUAAAAAAUAUAUAUUAUAUAUUGAUAUUAUUAAGAAUACUCCUACAUCUAAAUCAUAUAUUAGCAACUUCUAAUUUAUAAUUAAUUUAAAAAAGUUCAACUUUUUAUUUAUACAACUUGAAUAAGUUCUAGCAAAAUUUAAAAACACUUAAAUUAUACAACUUAAGAAGCUUCCCCAUCUCCCUCUACGACAUCAUCGCCUUGUCGUCGUCGUCGCCGUCGAAUGCGUCUACGAUCUGUGUCGGCAACAUUUAAACGUCGAGUCCGCUGAACAAGGCUGUCUAUAUCUCCCAUGACUUCGUCACACAUUGGACUAAAAAUUUCAAAAUUGUUUUCCAUGGAGACUCGACGUACGUCUUCAACAAAAUUAUUCUGAACGAUUGUAAAUAAUAUAAUUAAAAAAUGUUCAUGCUUGUAUUAAAUUUAUAAAUCAUAUUAAAACUAUUACCAUGCGAUAACAGUAAGCGUCAUCAGGUGUCAUGAAGCGUCGGGUAAUCGACGUGUACCAGGAAAAGUAGUUAUCUGAUACUGUGGGCUUCUGUGUUGCUUCUGCUUCGGCACAAAAAAGUAUUUCGUGAAUGCCACAUUGCUAUAUGCUCUGCAUGAAUCCUACUCCAAUCUUGAUCGUGCUUGCCUCUUAAAUCAAUUUGGUGUAGGCCCUGAUCUGUGGAGCAAAACUCUGGUGGCAUUUGUAGCAUAUGGAACUGUCGCAAUACACGAUCUGCUUGAUGCUUCUCAACGAGAUGAAAGCAAAUCAUAGGACCCACAUAUGUCCACAUCGCUUGACCGUUAUGACAUUGACGUGGAAGCAAUGCCAUAAUGUGGGACGUGUAUGGUGUCCAAUUAAUCUGUUAAAAAAAACGAACAUAAGGAAACAACAAAAAACAUGCCUACGCAAUAUUGAAUAUAAUAUUUUACUACCUGAAGAGUUGAUCAGCCGAUCAAAAAACAUUCGGUAGGUGAUCAACAUAUUUGCGGACAGUUCUGACAAUGGUAUAACGCCGCUCCAUCUAAUGUGAGAAAUGAAAUCAUUAAUAAGUUAUAAACCUUGCAAAUUUUACUAAAAAUAAUAUAUAUAUAUAAUAAUACCUGAAACUCAAAGGUCGACCAACUGACACCUCAACUGGUACUUGUGGUGCCAGAAUAGGAAAUCUGUCAUACGCCCAUACUUGCAACAAUAUUAAUGGGCCAGCAAUCUCUAAAGAUCGUGCAUUACUCGCUCGACACAAUUCCCUAUACAACCAUGCGAGGCAUGCAGCGCCCCAAGCGUACGUACCAGCCUGGUCAAAAUUAAUUAAAAGCGGGAGGAACAUAUAGUGGACCAGGGUGUUUGAUUUGUCUGUAAAUAGAAAGCCUCCAAUUAAUUGCAUAAUGUAUGCACGAGCGUAUCUUUGAACGCUCACUACAUCAGCAUCUGGUGGCAAUUCUGUGAACUGUUCUGCCAACCAAGGAAGGCUCAAUCGUUGACCUUUCAUUUCAGGUGGACGAACUCCCAAGUAAUCCUCACAUAGUACCUUCCAGUCAUAUAAUAACGACCCUACCACAGGCUCACCAUCCACAGGUAACCCUAACUGAACUGCAACAUCCUGUAGGGUGAUCGUGCAUUCCCCACAAGGCAUAUGAAAUGUGUGGGUCUCUAGUCUCCAACGCUCGAUCAGAGCAGUAAUCAAAUGCCAGUCCAACUGCAUAAAUCCUAUUUGGGAAGCCCCUAGAAAUCCAGCAGCCUCUAAAUAUGGUACAAUACGCUGAUCAAAUGGGAUCGUACGCUGAGAUGCUGCCUCUCUUCGUCGACAACUCAAAACAACUGUGGAGGAUGCCUCCCAUAUAGACUGUGAACGAUGGGAUGGUUGUAGAUAUAGCUGUGUAGGAUCACUCGGCCCAGGUUCCAUUAUGCAAAUAACCUAAAAAAUAUCGAAAUACUAUGAGGAUCAAUUGACCCAAAUUCCAUUACAUGAUUACAAUAUUAUAAAUUUAAGUUAUUAAUUUUAAAUACCAAUAAAUUAUAAUUAAACUAUUCAUCAAAUAUUAAGAUAUACAUCAAACAAUUACAUAGAAGUUAUGCAUUAAGAAUUACAUCAAACCCUAAAAUAAUUACAUAUCAGUGUCUUGAAGAAGAAGCACGUUCAGGACAAGUACGUCUGUUAUGUCCUUCUACUUUACAGAUCGUGCAUCUAAUUGAUUGACUAGACUCUUUCCAAUCCAUUUCAUUUUGGAUCCUUGUAGUUCUUGGUCGACCGGGUCCUUUAAGUAAGUCCGCAUUGGGGCGAACUUCAGUGAAUGAUAUCUCUGGCCAAUAAUCUGAGUGUUGGAUUGGAUGGAAGCGACCGUCAUAACAACGUUUGAAUGUCGACAACAAGUAGCAUUCAUCAAUGUAUGGUACGUAUGUCAAGUGCAUGUAAUUACAAAUUGCAAUUACAUGCGAACACGGAAUCUUAAACGACUGCCACUUAUUGCAAGAACAUGUCCCUUCCAUCAAACUUACUACCUGUGUGUGUUGGCCUUUGUAUGGAGAAGUCAUACUCAUACCCGUGUGAACCUCAAAUGUCUGGGUUUCUCUAUCAAUGGAUGUCACUGAAUGUGCAGAAGCUCGUUUUUCCCACUUCUUAAGCUUUCUUAUCGCAUAUUUCGUAUAAAUAUCACCACGAUCGAGUGCUUCACUUAUCUCAGCUCGCCGACGUUCGAAAUAAAGGAUUGUGCGAUAAAAUGUUAGUCUAACCAAAGAAGUGAUGGGUAACAUUCGAGCUCCUUUAAAUACACCGUUCAUACAUUCAGCUGCAUUGCUUGUCAUCCACCCAUAUCGAGACCCAUUGUCAUGUGACUGAGUCCAUUUUUCCACGUCAAUAUCUUCAAAAAACUCAAGACACUCUGGGUUCAAUCGUUGUAGUUCUUUCAUUAUUUUUAUAAAUUUGCGCCUUUGGUGUUGAUUACCUGCCCUAAACACCAAGUCUUUCAGUUGCUUUGAUUUAUAUUUCUGAUUGAAGUUGCUAGCAACAUGACGAAGACAAUAUCGAUGGACAGCUCGAGGUUCACUCCAACCUACCUCUUCAUUGUUAAUGGCAGAAAGAAUGUCCCUAUGUCUGUCAGAGAUCAAGCAAAUACCAUAUCGAUCAGUAACGUAUUCGCGAAGUGCACGAAGAAACCAUGACCAACUAGACGUGUUUUCCCCUUCCACUAUAGCAAAUGCAAGAGGAAAUAUAUGACCAUUUGCAUCAAUCGAUAAGGCAGUUAACAUUUUUCCCUUAUACUUUCCAUACAAAUGGGUUCCGUCGAUCUGAAUUAAUGGUCUACAAUGCUUGAACCCUUCUAUUGCAGGACCAAAUGACCAGAAAACCCUUCCAAAAAUGGUUGUACCUGGUACAUCGGAUGGAAGAAAAAACCAAUCAACUCGAGUUCCCGGAUUAUAAUGUACAACAGCACUCAACCAGUAUGGAAGCUCAUUAUAUGAUUUCUCCCAAUCACCAAAAACUGUUAUCAAAGCUUUUUUCUUCGCUUGCCAAACUUGUCCAUACUUAACACCGUAACCGUAUUGUUGUUUUAUGAUUUCCAUAAGCACAGACACAGUAAUAGUAGGAUCGGCUUUCACCAUGUUUUGAAUUUGAACACUCAUGAAAUUUGAAUCUAACUGUGAGUGAUCUUGUGUUAGAUUUGAGUACAGACACGAGUGCUCUCCUUGGAGCUUAGUUAUCUCAAACAAUCCGUGGCUCUUACGCUUCGUACCACGUAACCUCCAGUUGCAGCCAUUAGUCCACUGUUUGCAUCGAAUAUUCCACAAAUGUUGGUUUGAUUCGACUACAACAAUUUCAUAGUGUUGUGUCACACAAUACCUCUUAACAGCCAACAUAAGAUCUUCCUUAGAGUCAAAUAUCAUUCCCUUCUGUAUUAAACAAGAUGUGUCAACAGAUACAUUUCUAUCUGUCAAUGUACAACCUUGUUCACAAACAGAAUUCGCAAUGUCCCAAUCUAUUUGUGCAAAUAUAUUGGACGGGAUUCAUUUCAUUCUCUUCCUCUAUAUUUUCUUCAUUACCAAAUAGUUCAUCGACUUCUACAUCUAUAUCACUAUCUCCAUCAUUACCAGGUUCAAGAAUAACUAAAUCUUCAGGUCGCAACGACAUAUUUAAUUAGCUGUUAAAUACAAAAACGAUCAUCAGUUUAAUGUAUCUAUUUAUUUUAUUAGUAAUGUAGUGUACACAAAAAAGUGUACACAGUAAAUGUAUGGUUUAUUAUUAUUAUUAUUAUAAUUAUAAUUAUAAUAAUAAUAAUAAAUAAUUAUUUUAUUAUUAUUAUUAUUAUUAUUAUUAUUAGGAUUAUUAUUAUUAUUAUUAUUAUUAUUAUUAUUAUUAUUGUUAUUGUUAUUGUUAUUGUUAUUGUUAUUAUUGUUAUUAUUAUUAUUGUUAUUAUUGUUAUUAUUAUUGUUAUUAUUGUUAUUAUUGUUAUUAUUAUUGUUAUUGUUAUUGUUAUUGUUAUUGUUAUUGUUAUUGUUAUUGUUAUUGUUAUUGUUAUUGUUAUUGUUAUUAUUAUUGUUAUUAUUGUUAUUGUUAUUAUUGUUAUUAUUGUUAUUAUUGUUAUUAUUAUUAUUGUUAUUAUUAUUAUUAUUAUUAUUAUUAUUAUUAUUAUUAUUAUUAUUAUUAUUAUUAUUAUUAUUAUUAAAGUUAAAAAAACAAAAAAAAUACACUAAGGUUAAUGGUGCAUUAAUUAGGUUUUCCUUUUAGAUUUUUAUUAAUAAUUGUAUUUUUUAAUAAUAACCCCAAUAAUAAUUAUUAUUAAUAAAAUCAUUAUUAUUUUUACUAUUAUUUUUUUAUUAUUAGUCAAAUCAAGAUUAUUUUUUAUUAUUUUAUUAUUAUUACUAUUAGUCAAAUCAAUUGGGAAAGAAAAAAAAAAGUACAUUUAACAUUAAUUAGGUUAGGUUUUGAUUUUUUUAAUAAUUAUUAUUUUUAAUAAUAAUAAUAAUUAUUAUUGUUAUUAUUAUUAUUAGUCAAAUCAAUCGGGAAAGAAAAAAAAAGGUACAUUUAACAUUAAUUAGGUUAGGUUUUGAUUUUUAUUAAUAAUUAUUAGGUUAGGUUUUGAUUUUUAUUAAUAAUUAUUAUUUUUAAUAAUAAUAAUAAUAAUAAUAUUAUUAUUAUUAUUAAUAAGGUUAAAAAAUAACAAAAUUCAGAAAAAAUAUAAUAAAAUUCAAGGCAUAUAACAAAACUCAAAAGAUAUAACAAAAUUCAAAUAUAUAACUACAUUAAAAAAUAUAACUAAAUUCAAAAAUAUAACAAAAUUCAAAAAUAUAACUAAAUUCAAAAUAACAUAACUAAAUUCAAAAUAACAUAACUAAAUUCAAAAUAACAUAACUAAAUUCAAAAUAACCUAACUAAAUUCAAACAAUUUUUUUCCACAAAAUAAGAAAAUAAAAUAACAAAUCUAAAUAAAAUUAGGGUUAGACUAAACAUACCUUGUGAAGAUGAAUGAGACAAUGGAGGAUAGGAGACAAUGGAGGAUAGGGGAAGCCUACAACAAAAAAUAAAUUAUUUUAUCAACAUAAUAAUAAAAUAAAAUAAUUUUAACAACAAAAUCGUAUACCCCGUCCACGAUUUUUAGAAAAACAUACCUUUAUAAGGUAAUAGAAGAGGAAAAGUGAAGAUGAAGAGAAAAUUUGAAGAGGAAAAGUGAAGAGAUGAAGAGAAAAUUUGAAAGGAAAAAUGGAUGAGAGGAAAAGAGAAGAGGGGAAGAGGAAAUUUGAAGUUGGAAGGGAGAAUGAAAUAAGAAGAGAAAAGAUGAAGAGGGGGAAAGGAAAGAUGAAGUUGGGAUGAAGAAUGGGUUAGAAAGAGGAAAGAUGAAGUUGGGAUGAAGGAUGAGUUAGAAAGAGGAAAGAUGAAGUUGGGAUGAAGAAUGGGUUAGAAAGAGGAAAGAUGAAAGAUGAAUGAGAGAAAAAACUAGAUGAAGGAAGAUGAAAUAUGAAGGAAGAGGAGAGGAAAUAUGAAGGAAGAGGAGAGGAAAUAUGAAGGAAGAGGAAAGGAAAGAGGAAGGAAGAACGAAAAAGACGAAGAGGAAAAGUUUAGAGAAGAAGGAAAAAUUGUUUGGGAUGAAGGCAGAAUGAGAGAAAUUUAGGGUUUUUAAAAUAGGUGAAGUCGUGUACCCGGUACACGACUUCCUGCAUGCGCGACACGUGUCCGCUCCCUCUGCACCCUACGUCCACCCGUGAACCCUACGGUUGACUGGACUGUUGACCGUUGACUCAUUGUACGGAAGUCGUGGACGGGGUACACGACUUCCAUCAUACGCGGCAAAAUGUGCCAGCUGUACGGGAGUCGUGUACCGGGUACACGACUCCAGUCAGAAAACGUGGGCCGGGUCCACGACGCCACUCGGAUAUCGUGAGCCCGGUCCACGACACCAAAUCCAUUUGUGGAAGUCGUGUACCCCGUACACGACUUCAGUCACCUAUUUUUGAAAAUACUUUCUCAACUACCCUAUUUUUGAAAAUACUUUCCCAAAACACAUUAUUUUUAAAAAAAAUCCUAUAUAUAAUUAUAUUAUUACAUUUUCAAAUCUUCUUUCUCCCCCUUCAACAUAUUUUCUUCAAAAAAAUAAAUCUUGAACAAAUCGAAAAAAAUUUCUUAAAAUAAAAUACCUUCGAGUUUGGGGUGUUACACUUAUGGAUCGUUAUGACUGAUGCUUCAUGCCAUGUUUAUUUUGACGGUUACAUGCUUCUCAGAUUGAUGGUGUUUCAAGCUUUGGUUGUGUCACACUCUAUUCUAGGUUUUCCCCUCCAACCUAGAUCGUGCAUGAAAACACUUUUCGAAAACUACCAGCUUUUUCAACUUAAACUUUUAUAGAACAAGUAUUAUGAAAUUCUACAAAAAUUUCAACAUCUCUAUGUAUGUAUGGAUGUAUGUAUGUAUGUAACUUCAGACUCAAAUCACAUCAAGUGUGUCUCACUACACACUCAUCCAAACUAGUUCAGAGUCUCAAUCAGAGUUUGUAUCCAACUAGGAAUUUAGUUACAAAAGAAUUACAUUCCACUUAUAAAUCUUUCAAAAUACAUAACCAUAACAUGACCCUUACUACUUCUAACUACCCCAUGAAGUAAUACAAACUUAAGUAUAUACAUAUGGAAGAAAUGAGAAUCUACAAAUAGUGAUGGAAAACUCAACGAAAUGCUUGGACCUUGACCUUUACCAUGGGAAAAAGAACAUUGAAAGUGUAAGCGAAAACUUAGUGAGUGACAAGGUUUUAAAAAUAAAAGCUCGUAAAACAUGCUCUAAAACUGUUUAAAUAUGACAUCAAUAAAAAAAAUAAUAAUUAAAACGUUAAAAUCGCAUAUUACCAAAAUUUGCAAGUAUUUGCGAACAAACCUGUACCAUAUGAGAGUCUAUUAUAUCAGAGUGCCUAAAUAUACAGCCGAGAAUAGCUUGCACAUGGUUAAGAAAUCAUGCUGCCAAACUAAGCUCACGCACAUUGUCACACGUCACUCUAUCCACUUUAUGCGAUAGAUCGGAGAAGCAAGCACUUAGACAUUCUACGCUAUAUUCUCCUCGAAGUAAAUCGUCGAAUGCCUAGUGAGCAAAAUUAAAACAACACUGCAGAAACUUAACAAAGAAAACGAAAUUUUAUUAAUAUUUCAAGUAUAAGUACUAUUAGUACCAAUUACAAUGCUUAGCACAACUCAUUGAUCCUAACUCAAAACAAUACACGGACUUCUUCGGCUAACUCUUACAUGUUAUACAAAUAGACAGUUGUGACUAUUGCGAUCAAGGGACACAACAGGUGAUCAAAGUUGCAAGUUCAACAAUGAAUGUCCUUCUCUACCUAGGGGGACAAAAAUAAAACAAAACAUUUGAAAAUGUUAGACUAAAAUUGUAACAACCUAACUCUUUAUUCUAAGUUGAGGUCAUUAUUCAAAAUAUAAAGAUCAAAAGACACUUUCUUGAAAAGAGGAAAAAUAAAAUUUUAACGAAAUUUAUAUUAAAUAAAUAUUUGAAAGACAUAAAAUUUGAAAAUUCAGUAAAUACUGUAAAAACAUGACUCGUGCAAGUAAUAGUUUUUUUAAAUAAAAUAAAUGUAAAUAAAUAUGUCUAAAAAUAACAUGCUGAAAAAGUGAUAUAUAAAUGCGAAAGCAGAACUGUGUUCCCAUAUGACAUGUCACGGAUCCUUUUUGUCGCUUACCAGUUUUUUGAAUGAUCUACCUUUGUAUGAAAUAUUAAACAUAGGAAAGAGUGAGUAUAUAAAAUAUACCCAGUAAGGGACUCAGUACUAGCUCUGCUAGAAGUUUGUUAACUUCCCACUAAGGUUUCAUGAGGAGGUACCCGAAACUAUCGUGUGUCCGAUGGAACAUACACAAUCUUGUGAUCUCAAAUGAACACUCUCAUUUGUCAGUGAUCCAAAGGAACACCUAUGAUAUUGGGUUGUAACUAUCGUGUGCCUGAUGGAACACAUGCAAUCUAGUGUCUUGGAGGAACACUCUCAUUUAUCGAUGACCCGUCUGACCACUUAUAAACAUAAACAUGACAGACUAGUGGUCCCAUCAAGCUCACACAGUCCUAAAUUUGUGAAAAGGUGGUGAUUCUGAGAGACACCCAUAUGGGUACAAUCUUAAUAGACAGUUAAGAGAACACCCAUCCAUAGCAUGUAACAUCAUCACAAACAUGACAUGAAUAUUAAUCAUAACGUCCUUAAUCAUGUGAUUAAUAUAUCAUAUAUCAUAAAUAUUAUAAACAUAUUAGUCAUAUCGGUCAUAACAUAUCGGUCAUAACAUAUCGUUCAUAUCAGUCAUCCAUAUCAGUUAUCUAUACCAGUCAUCCAUAUCAGUCAUCAUUAUUACGCAUUUUAGCUACAUCAAUGCAUAAUGAAAAAUACAUUCAAACUCUUAAUUUUAAGCUCGAAGGCCUAGUGGUAGAAUCUCUUACCUAAGAGAUUAGUCAAACAAAAUACUCCCUACAAAAAAUUCUUCAAUUAAAUUGAUCCUAAUCAUAAAAGAAAAUUUCAGUAUCUUAAUUAAUAAAAUUAACAAUUGGCGUAUCCAAAAAAUUCUUUCAAAUUAACUUACCUAAAAUUGAGGUUGAAACCAAUUCAUCCUUGAUGAGAAAGAUUUGUCAUUUAAAUCUUCAAGAUUUGUGAAAUGGACUUUCGAAAUGCAUGCAACCAAAAUCAAUUUUAACAUGAGGAAUCUUUUCUUUUUCUAUUUCUCUUUUCAAUUUUCUCUUUACAUACUCAAAUAAUAAUAUUUAUCAUUAUUAUUCUUUUUUCCUUUUAGGAUAUAUAUAUAAUACCAAUAUAUACAUAUAUUUUUAUUCUCAUUAUCUUUUCUUAAUCAAAUCCUUAAAUGCACAAAAUCUUAGGCAUUUAUAAUCAAUAAUGAUGAUCGCUAUCCUCUCACCAAAAGAUGAUCACUAUUAUCUCACCAAAAGAUAUAAUAGAUAUAUAUUUAUUUAAAUCAUUAUUGUCUCUCUUAAUUAAAUAUAUCUUAUUUUCUCGUCCAAUCAAAUCAACAAUCUCUCUCCUCAUGGAUUAUCUUAUUUUUCAAACAAUUAUAAUUAUACUCUAUCAUGUAAUUAACUUUACUUUUCCAUAUUAAUUAUUUAUACAAAAUCAAAUAAUUAAUAUCAUAUUCAACCAAAAUCAAAAAUCUUAAUUAAAUAUAUAUAUCCAUAUAUAAAUACUUAAUUAAUUCGAAUACCACUAGAACCAACUUUUUAUGUCCCUAGCUAUCCAGCCAGUUUGACCCUUUAAAUGGGAGACAUAUUGGGCCAACGUUGAUGAACCUGCCCCACCUAUAUAGAUCUAAUGAUAAUCCCUUGAGAAUAAGAGUUCAUAUAGUUAGUUCAGGAUUAAGGUUAAGUUACAUAGGUCAUCAAAUUAAAAGAAGUAGUCAUUUUCAAAACGCAAAUGGUGUUAUAACGUAAAAGUGACUAUUUAAUGGUUCGGUCUUAUGAAAACUCUUUACAUGUGAUGUCCACACUUUCAUGUAUUUACAUGAACGAGUCAGGAUCACAUCGUUUGUACUAACUACAAAGCAUGUCACAUCCAUAGUGUUACCAAAAUAAGGCACCUAACCUUAUUCAUACUAUAAACCAUUUAGAUUAUAAACUUGAACUUGAUCCACAUUUAUGUCUUUAUAUAAAGUUCAAGUCUAUAAGAUAGCUUUGAGACAUUAAUUUAUUGGAUUCAAGAUUAUAGUAUUCUAUUUCACUGAUAAAUAAUUCAAUAAUCAAAUUGUUGAACGUAGUUUACAAACUAUGAGUUUUUAUACGAGUUUUUAGAACAUAAAAUCCAACAAAUAAAAAAUCAAAUGAAAGCAAAAUGUAAAUUAAAUUAAUAAGAAAUGUACUUACUUUAGAGCUUUCAUCAAUCUUUUUCUUUUCCUUGAUUUAUUGACUGAACAUUUAGCUUUUUCAAUUUUUCUGGAUAGUUUUUUACUUUUCAUUUCUUGUUUGAUCUUUCUAUUUUUACAAUAGACACAAUAAAACAUAUGAUAAAAUCAUUUAGUUUGUAUAGCUAUCAGAGGGUCAUUGAGGUUAUCACACAUGCUACUCAAAAUUUAAAACAACAAAUAAUAGGAAUCAGAUGGCAAUCAUACAAAAAUCGGAAGGUAAUAUCGGUUAGAAAGUUAAAGAUGAGCACAAAAUGGGAUAACAAAUAACACUACUACAAAAAUGAGUUUACUUGACGCUAGCAACUUUUACAUACUUGACGUUUUUAUUAAAAAAACGUCAAGUAUGAACUAUGUUAAAGAAAAAACGUCAAGUAUAGUCUUAAAAAAUAUGAAGUUUUCACGAAUUUUUUUUAAUUAUUUUAUGUUAGCUUUAUUUGACGUUUUUUUUUUUUUUUUUUUUUUGCGUCAAGUAUAAAGUAGAUUUUACUUGACAUUUUAUUCGAGUUAAAAGUAGUGAACAUUUACUUGACACAAAAAACAUGUCAGGUAUGGUUUUAAAAAAGAAAAUUUUUACGUUAACUUUUAUAUGACAUGGUUUUCGCGUCAAAUAUAAUGGAGAUUUAUUUGACAGUUUAUUCGCGUCAAAUAUAGUGGAGAUUUUACUUGACGUUUUUUUCGUGUCACGUAUAGUGGACAUUUACUUGACGCGAAAACAACGUCAAAUAUAGUUAACAUUUUUUAUUUAACACUUUUAAAAUGUCAAUUGCCAAAAUGUCAUAUAAAACGUUUAAAAAUAUGAAAAUAAAAAGUAUAAAAAUCAACUUAUUAAAAUAAUUUUUUAAAAUCAACUUAUUAAAAUAAUUUUUUUAAAAUCAACUUAUGAAAAUAAAUCUUUUGAAAUUUUUCACUUAAAUAAUUUGAAAUCUCUCAUUAAAUUAAAUUUACUAAAAUCUCUCGUUAAAAUAAAUUUGUUGAAAAUUUUCCUUUAAAUAAAAUUAUUGAAAAUAUUUCCUUAAAUAGAUUUAUUAAGAUAUUUUAAUGAAAAACUCAAUAAAUAAAUUUAUUAAAAUAUUUUAAUAAAAUAUUAUUAAAUAAAUUUUUUGAAAUCUUUCACUAAAACAAACUUUUACAAAUUUUUGACUAAAAUAAAUUGGUUGAAAUCUUUACUUAAAUUAAAUUUAUUAAAAUCUUUCUUUUAAAUAAACCUAUUGAAAAUAUUUUAUUUAAAUAAAUUUAUUGGAACCAUUUCUUUAAAUAAAUUUAUUAAAACAUUUUAAUGAAAAGUUUAUUAAAAUACUUUAAUAAAAAAUUGUUAAAUAUUUUUUUUGAAAUUUAUCACUAAAAUAAUUUUUUGAAUUCAUUAAAAUAAGUUUAUUGAAUCUUUCCUUUAUAACAAUUUUAUUGAAAAUAUUUUAUUAAAAUAUUUUAUACAAAAUUUAUAAAUAAAUUUAUAUAUUUUAAUGAAAUCUUAAGUAAAUUUAUCAAAGUAUUUUGAUGAAAUGCUUAUUUAAUAAAUAUUAAAAUAUUUUAAUGAAAACAUUAUUAAAUGUAUUUGUUAAAAACUUUAACGAAAAUAUUAUGAAAUAAAUUUAUUAAAAAAAUUAAUAAAAAAAUAAUUAAAUAAAUUUAUUGAAAUCUUUCAUUAAAAUAUUUUACCAAAACAGAUUUGUUGAACUGUUUCACUAAAUAAAUUUAUUUAAAUAUUUCAUCAAAGAAAUUCAUUAAAAUAUUUUAUUGAAAUGAUUAUUAAUGAAAUUUAUUGAAACAUUUUAAUAAAUUUUAAAUGGAUCAACUUUUUGGAUUGUUUAGUUUUUAGUUUGUAGUGUAGAUUAAUAAUAGAUCCAAUUUAUUGGUAUAUCUCCAUAAUUAUUUACUUUUACACAUCAUUUAUCACUACUCACAUAAAAAAAAUUACAAAUUUUGUGACAUGAUUAGACAAUUUGAUAGACAAAAAUAGGUGAUAUCCAGGAGAUGCAUAUCUAAAUAUUGUGUUGGUAAGUGAUAUAAUAUUAAGUUCUCGCACAUCAACUUGAUUUUAUGAAGUUUUGUUUAAUAAAAAAAUCAUUUUAUUAAAGUGAGCAUAUAUAACUCAAUUCAGUUAUUUACCAAAAAAAUUAAAAUCAAAAUAAUUUAGGGUUUCAUUUUUCUUUUUUUGUUUCUUUUUAUGGAAAGAUUGAAGAUCUUGGAAACCUAAAACAUAAUUUAAGAAAAUUGUUUAAUGAUAGCGAAAAUUAAGAAUAAAUUAAUAAAAACAAAUAAAUUGAAACAAAAACUCACAAACCGCUCUAUUUAAUUUUUUUUAAAAUGAUAUAAUUAAAAAAAAUAUUAUCAAAAACUAAGAAAUAAAGAAAAAUAAUAAUAAUAAUAAAUUGAAAACAAGGUACAAAUCCAUUGUUUUCUAAUUUUCACCCUUUCAACUUAUUUUCUAUUAUCAAUUCCUAAUUUCUCCUAUAAAAACCUUCUUUCCUAAUUCAAAAAAUAUUCAUCAUCUCAAAUCUUUAUAUUCUCAUGAUCAAUCCAUGGAUCUUUCUCAAAAGUUAACAAAAACUCAUGUAAUUUUCUUUCCUUUUUAAUGUUUCUUUCAUUUUUUUCUAUAGAAAUUUUCAUGUUGAUUAUUAAAAAUGAUUAGUGGGCUUUUUUUUCAACUUCCUCAAUAACACUUCUUUCCUUUUAUAUAUUGUUAAAAAAGGUAUCCAAUGAAAAGAUGAAAAAUUUAUUGCUUUUCAAGUUUUAACCUUAAAACAAUAUAUAUGGAAAAAAUUUAUAUUUAUAUAUUGUUAAAAAAGCUUGUUUUAUUUUAUAUUUAUAUAUGAAAAAAAUAAUUUUUUGAAAAGUUUAUCAAAUAUAUUUAUUGAAAUAUUUUAAUUAAAUUUAUUAAAUUCAUUUAAUUAAAAAUAUCAAGUAAAUAUAUUAAAAUCUUUUAUUUCCCUAUUUUUAGUAAUCCCUCACGUCUCCACGAUGAAACCCUAUUCUCAUCUCCACGCUUCCACACAACACAGGCGAACGACCACUUCUUCGAAUCGACGGACGACUUCCACACAACACAGAGUGGCAAACGGCGAAUGACUUCCACACGACGAACGCUUCCACCCUGCGAACAGCUUCUACCCGGCGAACAGCUUCAACCCGUUGCGAACAGCUUCAACCCGACGAACGGCUUCCACGCAGCGAACAACUUCCACAGUGAACGGCUUCCACGACUGCGAACAUCUUCCGCACGGCGAACUGCUUCCGCGUUCAAAGGUUUUUAUGCUCCUCAUUCUUAUUGUAUUUAACAUUUUUCAAUGAAUAAUGCUCCCUUGAAUUUGAUUUAUAUCUUGUAAUUAAGGAUGAUAUUGUAAACCCAAAGUGAGAAAAACACAAAGAGAAGAAAAUUGAGAAUGACUCUCGUAUAUUUAUAUUUAUUUGUGUUAUAUGUUUAUGUUGUUUAUGUUCAAAUUCGUAAACAAAUGGUAUAAUCUAAUUGACAAAUCGAGAAGACCAUCAUUUUUCUUUAUUGUUGUUUUUUUUACAGGAAUGAGUAAUGAAAAAUUAAGGGUGACUCUUGGAUGUUUUAGACCGUAAUUAAUUUGUUGUCGUUAUGGUUAUAAUUAUCAUAUUGAUUUGUUUAUAGUAAUGAGUAAUGAAUUGGUAUAUUUACUCUUGGUAAGAUUCAUACUUUUGAAUGCCAUUUUUUUUAUAGUAAUGAGUAAUGAAUUGAUCUUGUGUGCAUCAUCAUAUCCCAAUUACACAUGCAUCUUGGAAGCUGGUGUCGACUGAGUUGAAAGAAAAAGUAUACAAUAUGAUUGAGGUAUGUAAUCAUCCUUCUCAUUUGGAAAUCAUGCAAAUACUACACACUUAUUGUAUAUUUUGAGUCAUACUAUCUUGUGGUUAUCCUGUAGCCUUGGUAGCCCCGUAGCAUUGGUAGCCAAUCAUGUAUAUAUUACACAGUUAUUGUAUAUUUUAAGUUGUAUUAUGUGUGGCUAUCCUGCUAUGGUAGCCAAUCAUGCAUAUAUUGGUAAAUGUAAAUAUAUUUAUAAAAUAAUUUUUAUUUUAAUCUAGCACAUAAUAUAAUAUAUAUGCAUUGUUAAUUGGUUGUGUUAUAGUGUUCUUUACAAGUAGGUACGGUUGAAUGUGGAUAUUAUGUCAUGAGAUACAUGCAAGAAAUUGUGACUAAGGACACAAACAUUAUCACUGGUGCGGUAUGUUUUUAAACUAUUUACAUUAUAAAGUUAUAGAUAGUAUAUUAUGACUAACUCAAAUAUUUUACAAAGUGUAUCCUACUUUUUAUGUUUUAUAGAUUGAUACAAGAAGCCCAUACACACAGCUUGAAUUGGAUAGACGAGGGGAGUGGGCUGGAUUUUUAGCUCGGUACAUAUGAUAGACACACCUAGAUAUGAUCAUGUUAAUUUUGUAAAUGGCUAAGAUAUGUGAAUGCUCAUAACCUUUUUGUGGAAACGUUUUGUUCAUAGCCAUUAUGAGGGCAAAAGAUAUAUGGGGAUAGACUUCAAUUUUGAUUAUAUAAGACAACUAUUAUCAUUUAAUAUUUUGGAAUAGGACACAUAUAGGAAAUUUUAGUUGGCUAUAUUGGAUUGGAAUUGUGUAAUUGUUGAUGACAUUGUUGAGAAUAAUGAAAUUAUUGUUGGUUUACAUAUUAUACUAAACUUUUUGUCCUUUUUUUUGUUGUGUAAUUGUUCGUUGGAGAAUUUGUUUUGUUUAUGGAUAUGUCUUAUUGAAGUAAAUGUAUGUAAUGCAGGAAAUAAAAAAUGAAAAAAGAAAAAUUUAGUAUAUUUAAUAUAUUAAUAAAUGGUAUACAUGACAUUAAAUACAUGUCACAUAUACUAUCUUAUUUGAGUUAAAUAUACCAUUUUACUUGAUGGAUAUAUAGUGUCAACUAUAAAAUUUUACUUGACAUAUACAUAAUGUCAAAUAUACUAUCUCACUUGACAGGUAAAUAGAGUCAAAUAUAUAUCUUACUCGACUUGUAAAUAGUGUCAAGUAUACUAUCUCACUUGACAGGUAAAUAGAGUCAAGUAUAUAAUUUACUCGACGUGUAAAUAUUGUCAAGUAUACUAUCUUACUUGACACAAAAAUGAUGUCAAGCAAUAGAGUACUUGACGUUUUUUUAGUGUCAAGUAAUAGAACUAUACUUGACAGUCGAUUACUUGACGCUUUUUAAAACGUCAAGUAUAGAUUUACAUGACACUGUAUUAAUGUCAAGUAAUUCAAUUUUUGUAGUAGUGUAAAAUAGAUGAUAAAAUCAUUUAGACCGUAAAGUAAUGACAAGACAAUCAGAGGGCUAUCCCACGUGCUGCUCAAAUUUAAACCAACCAAUAGAAAUUAGCUAGAAAAUUAAAGAAGACAACAAAAUGGGAAAACAAAUAUAUAAUAGAAAAAUUGAUUCACAUGACAAAAAUAUUUAGAAAUUAAAAGGGACACUUGCAAAAAUGACAAAAUAAGUUAUAAUAAUUAAGUUCAUAUCACACAUAUUUUAUUAUUUACAAAAAUGACAAAAACGAAGUCCAGCCCACACAUCAAGAAGUAAAGUGUCACAAAUGCUCUCGUUACUAAUAUACGUCUGAUACACCUUAUACACGCUUGUUACACCUAAUACACGUCUGAUAUACUCUUUGAUACACCUAAUACAUUUGAUUGAUAAACUUAAUGCACCUGAUACUCUUUGAUACACUCGAUACUGAAACAUACUAAUAUAUGUUUGAUACACACGAUACACUGCAUAUACAUUUAGUAUUCUUCACUUAUACAAUUGAUUGAUUAAAUGCACUUGAAAUGCUUGAAGUCCUUAUUAUACACUUGAUAUACUAUUGAUAUACACUUGUAAACUCGAUUCAUAUACUUGAUAAUGAUUCACUUUACUGAUAUGUUUUAACAAUAUAUUGUUGAUGUACUUGAUAAUGAUACACUGAGUUACAUCAUUCAUAUACUUAAUAAUACUCUAAUGAACUGCAUAAAAUUUGAAAAAAUGAAAACACGUAGUAAGUAUAUUAACCAACUAAUACAUAUAAACAACACUGACAUACAAAACUGAGACAAAGUAAAACAAAAAUAUUAAUGUAAGAAAAUAAAAAAAUAAUCAUUGGAAUCAAAUUCAACUCAAAAUACACAUCGAAGAAAGUAAAAAAAAUCACAAAUGGAGUUAAAUUACUCUAAUUAACAACCAUUAUAUUAUAUUAUUCAUAUUACAAUUAUUGUACUAUUGAUAUUUUAAAAUUAAGACUAAGAUAGAAAGAAUAAAGAAUUUUUCUAAUAUAAGAAUAAACAAAUAAUUAUGGCCUUAAAAAGUGGAAGCAUAGAUAAAUAGUAAGUAGGACAUUAAAAAGAUGAAGGGAAAUAAGUUAUUGAAGAGUAGUUUAUGAAUAAUAUUAAAUUUAAGAUGGAGAAGUGAAAUUUUUGCCAUAUUUACAAAAUUCGAAAACAAUGUGCUAUAAUUGUUAUAUCAUAUUCUCAAAAUGCUAUCCUAUGCAAUUUCCCAAUUUAAAAAAAGUUCAUGAUAUCUCUUUUUUGUAUAUUACAAAUAUGACAAAUAUUACCAGCAAUUAGUGAUAUCUGGUUAUCAGAUAACUAUCAAAUCACUAUUAAAGGAUUAUCAAAGGGCUAUUAGGAAGUUAUCGGUUUUUAAGUUUGCUAUUUUUACAAUUUAGAAAAUAUAGUACUAUUGACUCUAUUAUCCUAAAUUGUUUUGCUAUUUUUGCAAACACUCCUAUAGAAUAUGAGCUGCAAACAAAAAGAACAACAAAUACAAACAUAAACAACCAAAAUUUCUUCAACUACUCAAAUGGAAACCAAAUGUAAUCAAUAUAUAGAAAUAGGUUUGCAAUUAGUUAACCUUCAUUUUUUUUACUCCAACUACACACUGAUUUUGAACAAUACCUCAUGCAGAGAAUGAGAUCACAAAUAUAAACAAUAACAACUAAAAUUACUCCAUCUAAAUACUCAAAUGGAAACCAAAAUUUAAUCAAUAUAUAGAAAUUAGUUGGCAAUUCGUUAGAAAUCUCAUGUUUGAACGGAUUAAAAUGAAUGGAUUAAAGAAACUAUGGUUUCUGAGAUACAUGUAGAAGAAGAAAAAAGAAGAAGAGAUAUACCUCAUGUUAAUUCGGAAGUUAUUAACGAGGAGAAGAGAAGAAGAGUAACCGAAGAGAAAAGCUAGGGACGUUGGAGAGAAGAAGUAGCUUGAAAGAAAGAAGGAAUAAAGUUGACGUUGAAAUCAUAAAGAUUGUAAUUAAUUUGUAAAUUAUAAUAGUUGAAAACGCUAAAUAUAUAUUAUAGUUCGACAUGCAAACAAUGGGAGUGAGCUAUAGAUCACUCGAAGAUGUGAUUCAAAAAAAUUAGACAGUGUUUAGAAAUCAAAAUAGAAUGAGGUUACGAAUCAUAAUUUUUGUUAUGCUUUACAAGAGGUGAAAAGCUGAAAGGUUUCCUAAUGAGGUAUUGUUAGGUGGAGAGAGCUAAUUAAAUUGGUAUCAACAAACCAGCACUAAGAUUAGUUUAAACAUUUUGAUUAAAAUAUAUAGUUAGUGGGGGAAACAAAGAGUGCAUUCAUAAUCUGCGGUCACAAAAGUGUUAAAAAAAUGAUCAAAGUUGGCCAAAUUAUUGAGUGGGCGGUAGUUCAAAUCGUUCCUAAAAUAGUCAUCUAAAUUUCUCUAUAAAAUGCUUCUCUUAGCUUUAAGAUUUGAUCACAAUUAGUACAAAACAAGAAAAUGAGCCAAAGUGAUAGCAUUUGGGUAAAAGUUCACCUAAAAUCUUCCAUCGAGAAGUUCUAUGGGUUCUUCAGGAACCAUAUGGAGGAUUUGGUCAAUAUGUUUCCUGAGCAAUUUAAGAGCUUCGCAUUUGUUGAAGGUCAAAGUUUAUCUGCUGAUACUGUUGUACAGUUGGAAUACAACCUUGGUGAGUAUGAUGAUUUCUAUUCUCCAUUCUUCUUCUAGAUAUUUAUAUUUAGGCUUAAUUGUCGAGCACUCUUUAUUGUUUUUAAAAUAACCAUUUUAAAACUCAAUGAAUAACCGAUUAACACAUAAUUUAAGACAUCUUAAGACUAUAUAUAUAUAUAAUUAAUUAAUUUAUAACUAAAAUAUUUUUUUUAAAAGUUUGGAAGUUGCAUAUAUAGCAUUCAAGCCAGACUAUUAUUUACUGGUAUAGCUUAAUGCAAAAUGGUUUGUAAAUAUAGCAAAAUUUAGAUCCAGAUCACGAUAUCUAUCAUUGAUAAACCAUAUCGCUAAUAGGAACUUGAUCUAUAAUAUACUAUAUAUAUAGUAGUAAGAGUCUAUGAACAAUAGAAUUAUUAUAUUUAUAUAAUUUUCUAAAAGUGGUUGUAGUAUUAUUUUUUAAGUACUACUUAUUAUGAUUACCCUAUUUUAAAGUUGAGGGACUAGUUUGAAACAUUGAAUAUUUUAUUCUUUGUGCACGAAGAUAUAUAUAGUCUUAAUUAUAUAGUCAUUGUAAAGAGAAAUUGUUUUAAAUGACAACUUUUGAAAAUAUUUACAAAUAUAACAAAAUAUUACAAUCUAUCUCUGAUUAACCAAGAUAGACUACUAUUUGUGUGUAUCGUCAUAUAUAUAGGCAUACAAAUGAUCAUAUAUCUUGGUUUAUCACGUAAUAGAUAGUUGAUAUUUUACUAUAAUUUAUACAUACCUUAUAUCAUUUGGUUGCAUUUGAAAAUAAGUCUAACUAUUAUCUAUAUAGUAGAAAUUAAACAAAAAUAAAACGACAUAUCAAGGGAUCAUAAAUAAUAAUUUUGCAUAACACUAUACAUAUGUUCACUACAUAUUUGGUUAAGUAAAGAACAAAAAGUAAUUAAAGAUCAGCGGGUUUAAUAUAUUUUGGAUGUGAACAAACAGGAAGUCAUCAAUUAUUAACAGCAAACAUAAAGCUAAAAGUGGUGGAUGAUAUGAAGAAAUACAUAAUUUAUGAGGCUGUUGAAGGAGAUGUGCUAAAGAAUUACAAAGUGUUCACUACGAGACUUGAAGUUGUUAAUGGAAGCUUAAGCAAAGUUGGAGGAGGAAGCUUUGCAAAAUGGACUAUUGAUUUUGUGAAGGCAAAUGAAAAUGUGCCUUCACCUGAAAACUACUUGGAAAUGUUUAUCAACAUGUCCAAAGGUGUUGAUGCUUAUUUUUCCAAGAACCAAAAGCCCUAAAUUACUCAAGCUGUGUAACCUAAAGUUUGGAGACUUUCUACUUGGCUUGUUCUUAAAAUAAGAAAAUGGAUGCAAUCACUACUACAAAAAUUGAAUUACUUGACAUUAAUACAGUGUCAUGUAAAUCUAUACUUGACGUUUUAAAAAGCGUCAAGUAAUCGACUGUCAAGUAUAGUUCUAUUACUUGACACUAAAAAAACGUCAAGUACUCUAUUGCUUGACAUCAUUUUUGUGUCAAGUAAGAUAGUAUACUUGACAAUAUUUACACGUCGAGUAAAUUAUAUACUUGACUCUAUUUACCUGUCAAGUGAGAUAGUAUACUUGACACUAUUUACAAGUCGAGUAAGAUAUAUAUUUGACUCUAUUUACCUGUCAAGUGAGAUAGUAUAUUUGACAUUAUGUAUAUGUCAAGUAAAAUUUUAUAGUUGACACUAUAUAUCCAUCAAGUAAAAUGGUAUAUUUAACUCAAAUAAGAUAGUAUAUGUGACAUGUAUUUAAUGUCAUGUAUACCAUUUAUUAAUAUAUUAAAUAUACUAAAUUUUUCUUUUUUCAUUUUUUAUUUCCUGCAUUACAUACAUUUACUUCAAUAAGACAUAUCCAUAAACAAAACAAAUUCUCCAACGAACAAUUACACAACAAAAAAAAGGACAAAAAGUUUAGUAUAAUAUGUAAACCAACAAUAAUUUCAUUAUUCUCAACAAUGUCAUCAACAAUUACACAAUUCCAAUCCAAUAUAGCCAACUAAAAUUUCCUAUAUGUGUCCUAUUCCAAAAUAUUAAAUGAUAAUAGUUGUCUUAUAUAAUCAAAAUUGAAGUCUAUCCCCAUAUAUCUUUUGCCCUCAUAAUGGCUAUGAACAAAACGUUUCCACAAAAAGGUUAUGAGCAUUCACAUAUCUUAGCCAUUUACAAAAUUAACAUGAUCAUAUCUAGGUGUGUCUAUCAUAUGUACCGAGCUAAAAAUCCAGCCCACUCCCCUCGUCUAUCCAAUUCAAGCUGUGUGUAUGGGCUUCUUGUAUCAAUCUAUAAAACAUAAAAAGUAGGAUACACUUUGUAAAAUAUUUGAGUUAGUCAUAAUAUACUAUCUAUAACUUUAUAAUGUAAAUAGUUUAAAAACAUACCGCACCAGUGAUAAUGUUUGUGUCCUUAGUCACAAUUUCUUGCAUGUAUCUCAUGACAUAAUAUCCACAUUCAACCGUACCUACUUGUAAAGAACACUAUAACACAACCAAUUAACAAUGCAUAUAUAUUAUAUUAUGUGCUAGAUUAAAAUAAAAAUUAUUUUAUAAAUAUAUUUACAUUUACCAAUAUAUGCAUGAUUGGCUACCAUAGCAGGAUAGCCACACAUAAUACAACUUAAAAUAUACAAUAACUGUGUAAUAUAUACAUGAUUGGCUACCAAUGCUACGGGGCUACCAAGGCUACAGGAUAACCACAAGAUAGUAUGACUCAAAAUAUACAAUAAGUGUGUAGUAUUUGCAUGAUUUCCAAAUGAGAAGGAUGAUUACAUACCUCAAUCAUAUUGUAUACUUUUUCUUUCAACUCAGUCGACACCAGCUUCCAAGAUGCAUGUGUAAUUGGGAUAUGAUGAUGCACACAAGAUCAAUUCAUUACUCAUUACUAUAAAAAAAAUGGCAUUCAAAAGUAUGAAUCUUACCAAGAGUAAAUAUACCAAUUCAUUACUCAUUACUAUAAACAAAUCAAUAUGAUAAUUAUAACUCAUAACGACAACAAAUUAAUUACGGUCUAAAACAUCCAAGAGUCACCCUUAAUUUUUCAUUACUCAUUCCUGUAAAAAAAACAACAAUAAAGAAAAAUGAUGGUCUUCUCGAUUUGUCAAUUAGAUUAUACCAUUUGUUUACGAAUUUGAACAUAAACAACAUAAACAUAUAACACAAAUAAAUAUAAAUAUACGAGAGUCAUUCUCAAUUUUCUUCUCUUUGUGUUUUUCUCACUUUGGGUUUACAAUAUCAUCCUUAAUUACAAGAUAUAAAUCAAAUUCAAGGGAGCAUUAUUCAUUGAAAAAUGUUAAAUACAAUAAGAAUGAGGAGGCAUAAAAACCUUUGAACGCGGAAGCAGUUCGCCGUGCGGAAGAUGUUCGCAGUCGUGGAAAGCCGUUCACUGUGGAAGUUGUUCGCUGCGUGGAAGCCGUUCGUCGGGUUGAAGCUGUUCGCAACGGGUUGAAGCUGUUCGCCGGGUAGAAGCUGUUCGCAGGGUGGAAGCGUUUCGUCGUGUGGAAGUCAUUCGCCGUUUGCCACUCUGUGUUGUGUGGAAGUCGUCCGUCGAUUCGAAGAAGUGGUCGUUCGCCUGUGUUGUGUGGAAGCGUGGAGAUGAGAAUAGGGUUUCAUCGUGGAGACGUGAGGGGAUUACUAAAAAUAGGGAAAUAAAAGAUUUUAAUAUAUUUACUUGAUAUUUUUAAUUAAAUGAAUUUAAUAAAUUUAAUUAAAAUAUUUCAAUAAAUAUAUUUGAUAAACUUUUCAAAAAAUUAUUUUUUUCAUAUAUAAAUAUAAAAUAAAACAAGCUUUUUUAACAAUAUAUAAAUAUAAAUUUUUUCCAUAUAUAUUGUUUUAAGGUUAAAACUUGAAAAGCAAUAAAUUUUUCAUCUUUUCAUUGGAUACCUUUUUUAACAAUAUAUAAAAGGAAAGAAGUGUUAUUGAGGAAGUUGAAAAAAAAGCCCACUAAUCAUUUUUAAUAAUCAACAUGAAAAUUUCUAUAGAAAAAAAUGAAAGAAACAUUAAAAAGGAAAGAAAAUUACAUGAGUUUUUGUUAACUUUUGAGAAAGAUCCAUGGAUUGAUCAUGAGAAUAUAAAGAUUUGAGAUGAUGAAUAUUUUUUGAAUUAGGAAAGAAGGUUUUUAUAGGAGAAAUUAGGAAUUGAUAAUAGAAAAUAAGUUGAAAGGGUGAAAAUUAGAAAACAAUGGAUUUGUACCUUUUGUUUUCAAUUUAUUAUUAUUAUUAUUUUUCUUUAUUUCUUAGUUUUUGAUAAUAUUUUUUUUAAUUAUAUCAUUUUAAAAAAAAUUAAAUAGAGCGGUUUGUGAGUUUUUGUUUCAAUUUAUUUGUUUUUAUUAAUUUAUUCUUAAUUUUCGCUAUCAUUAAACAAUUUUCUUAAAUUAUGUUUUAGGUUUCCAAGAUCUUCAAUCUUUCCAUAAAAAGAAACAAAAAAAGAAAAAUGAAACCCUAAAUUAUUUUGAUUUUAAUUUUUUUGGUAAAUAACUGAAUUGAGUUAUAUAUGCUCACUUUAAUAAAAUGAUUUUUUUAUUAAACAAAACUUCAUAAAAUCAAGUUGAUGUGCGAGAACUUAAUAUUAUAUCACUUACCAACACAAUAUUUAGAUAUGCAUCUCCUGGAUAUCACCUAUUUUUGUCUAUCAAAUUGUCUAAUCAUGUCACAAAAUUUGUAAUUUUUUUUAUGUGAGUAGUGAUAAAUGAUGUGUAAAAGUAAAUAAUUAUGGAGAUAUACCAAUAAAUUGGAUCUAUUAUUAAUCUACACUACAAACUAAAAACUAAACAAUCCAAAAAGUUGAUCCAUUUAAAAUUUAUUAAAAUGUUUCAAUAAAUUUCAUUAAUAAUCAUUUCAAUAAAAUAUUUUAAUGAAUUUCUUUGAUGAAAUAUUUAAAUAAAUUUAUUUAGUGAAACAGUUCAACAAAUCUGUUUUGGUAAAAUAUUUUAAUGAAAGAUUUCAAUAAAUUUAUUUAAUUAUUUUUUAUUAAUUUUUUUAAUAAAUUUAUUUCAUAAUAUUUUCGUUAAAGUUUUUAACAAAUACAUUUAAUAAUGUUUUCAUUAAAAUAUUUUAAUAUUUAUUAAAUAAGCAUUUCAUCAAAAUACUUUGAUAAAUUUACUGAAAGAUUUCAUUAAAAUAUAUAAAUUUAUUUAUAAAUUUUGUAUAAAAUAUUUUAAUAAAAUAUUUUCAAUAAAAUUGUUUAAAGGAAAGAUUCAAUAAACUUAUUUUAAUGAAUUCAAAAAAUUAUUUUAGUGAUAAAUUUCAAAAAAAAUAUUUAACAAUUUUUUAUUAAAGUAUUUUAAUAUAUUUAAUAAACUUUUCAUUAAAAUGUUUUAAUAAAUUUAUUUAAAGAAAUGGUUUCAAUAAAUUUAUUUAAAUAAAAUAUUUUCAAUAGGUUUAUUUAAAAGAAAGAUUUUAAUAAAUUUAAUUUAAGUAAAGAUUUCAACAAAUUUAUUUUAGUCAAAAAUUUGUAAAAGUUUGUUUUAGUGAAAGAUUUCAAAAAAUUUAUUUAAUAAUAUUUUAUUAAAAUAUUUUAAUAAAUUUAUUUAAUGAGUUUUUCAUUAAAAUAUCUUAAUAAAUCUAUUUAAGGAAAUAUUUUCAAUAAUUUUAUUUAAAGGAAAAUUUUCAACAAAUUUAUUUUAACGAGAGAUUUUAGUAAAUUUAAUUUAAUGAGAGAUUUCAAAUUAUUUAAGUGAAAAAUUUCAAAAGAUUUAUUUUCAUAAGUUGAUUUUAAAAAAAUUAUUUUAAUAAGUUGAUUUUAAAAAAUUAUUUUAAUAAGUUGAUUUUUAUACUUUUUAUUUUCAUAUUUUUAAACGUUUUAUAUUUGACAUUUUGGCAAUUGACAUUUUAAAAGUGUUAAAUAAAAAAUGUUAACUAUAUUUGACGUUGUUUUCGCGUCAAGUAAAUGUCCACUAUACGUGACACGAAAAAAACGUCAAGUAAAAUCUCCACUAUAUUUGACGCGAAUAAACUGUCAAAUAAAUCUCCAUUAUAUUUGACGCGAAAACCAUGUCAUAUAAAAGUUAACGUAAAAAUUUUCUUUUUUAAAACCAUACCUGACAUGUUUUUUGUGUCAAGUAAAUGUUCACUACUUUUAACUCGAAUAAAAUGUCAAGUAAAAUCUACUUUAUACUUGACGCAAAAAAAAAAAAAAAAAAAACGUCAAAUAAAGCUAACAUAAAAUAAUUAAAAAAAAUUCGUGAAAACUUCAUAUUUUUUAAGACUAUACUUGACGUUUUUUCUUUAACAUAGUUCAUACUUGACGUUUUUUUAAUAAAAACGUCAAGUAUGUAAAAGUUGCUAGCGUCAAGUAAACUCAUUUUUGUAGUAGUGAAUAUAUGUAACCUAAAGUUUGGAGACUUUCUACUUGGCUUGUUCUUAAAAUAAGAAAAUGGAUGUGUAAUAUGUAAUGUGUGUCGUUUUAUGUCUGUUAUGGAUGCAUGUGUAGUUUAAUUUGGGGAUCGGAAUAAUGUAUAAUAUAUUGCAAGUACUUGUAAAAUUGAAAAUCUAUCAUUAUUGUGUGUGUGUCAAAGCUCUCAAGCGUGUGUGUCAAUAUCUCUAAUUGGCUAAUGGAUCACAACUUCAUGUAUGCAAAAUAAUUUGUUGAUCAACUUAUUAAAAUGUAUUUGGGAAUUAAGGAUAUAUCCUUUAU
rnacentral:lncRNA from 1 species